rnacentral:lncRNA from 1 species
CAGCAAGAACUUCUCAUCCACCAUGUAGGACACAUCUCUAACCUUCCGGUCCACACAACUCUUCUGAUGCUACUGCGCUGUGCAAAGCCUCUCCUGAAUCACCCUCACCUUCUCUAAAGCAUCCUACAGAAAAUCUAUCCCCAACAACCUAGCCUCGCUAGUCUCGAACUAUGCAACUGGAGAUCUACACCGCCUCACAUACAACACCUCAUACGGAGCCAUUUGAAUACUCAACCACUAGCUAUUGUUGUAAUAAAACUCUGCAAGCAGUAGAAAAUUAUCCCAUGAACCUCCGAAAUUAAUAGCACAAGCACGUAAUAUGUCCUCCAAUAUCUGAAUAGUACGCUCGUACUGCAUGUCCGUCUAAGCAUGAAAAGAUGUGCUGAACUCCACCCGAGUACCCAACUCUCGCUGAAUAGACUUCCAAGACUGGGAAGUAAGCUUAGUACCUCUCUCUGAGAUGAUGGAAACCGGAACACCAUGCAACCGAACAAUCUCCUGAAUAUAUAUCUCUGCCAACCGCUCAGAAUAAUAAGUAGUACAUAUAGGAAUGAAGUGCGCGGACUUGGUCGGUCGAUCCAUAAUCACCCAAAUAGCAUCGAACUUCUUCAAAGUCCUAGGAAGUCCAACAACAAAGUCAAUAUUAAUCCUCUUGAACUUCCGCUGGAGAAUAACCAUCUACUGAAGCAAGCCACCCUGUCUCUGAUCCUCACAUUUAACAGUCUGGCAAUUGAGACACCGAGCUACAACUCCCACAAUAUCUUUCUUCAUUAUUCUCCAAUCAAUAGUCCUGCCUCAAAUCCUGAUACAUUUUUGCGGCACUAAGAUGAAUAGAAUACUGCAAGCUAUGGGCCUCUCUAGAAUCAACUCUCUAAGACCAUCCAUAUUGGGCACACAAAUCCUUCUAUGUAUCAUCAACACCCCAUCAUCACUGAUGGUCACAUCUCUGGCAUUAUCACGAUAAAGUAUUCCCCUAAGGACAACAAAAUUCAGAUCGUCAUACUGGUGCUCUCUGUUCCGAUCAUAUAAGGAAGACCCAGACACACGCCAACACCCAACUAGGCUCUGAAAUAUCCGAUGUCAUGAACCGAUUGGCCAAGGCCUGAAAAUCAAAUGCAAGGGGUCUCUCCUCAAUUGGAAUGUAUUCCAAACUCCCCACACUCACGGCCUUUCGACUCAAACUAUCAUCAAACACAUUGGCCUUUCUCGGAUGAUACAAUAUAGUAAUAUCAUAAUCCUUAAGCAACUCUAACCAUCUCCCUACCUCAAAUUAAGAUGCUAUUGCUUGAAAAAAUGCUGAAGACUGCGAUGGUCAGUGAAUACCUUACAAAAUACUCCUUACAAGUAGUGCCUCCAAAUCUUUAGUGCAUGAACUAUGACGGCCAACUCCGAAUAUUGAACAAGGUAGCUCUUCUCAUGGGGUUUCCGCUGAUGAGAAGAAUAAGCAAUAAAUCUACCCUCCUGCAUCAAUGCAUAACCAAUCCCAACUCUCGAAGUAUCACAAUACACGGUAUAUGAACCUAAAACUGAUGGCAACACCAUUAUUGGAGUUGUGAUCAUGGAUGUCUUGAGCCUCUAGAAGCUCUCCUCACACUCGUACAACCAUACAAAUGAAACUACCUUCUGAGUCAACUUGGUCAAGGGUGAUGCGAUUGAUGAGAAUCCCUUAACAAACUAGCGGUAAUAGCCUGCCAACCCAAGAAAUCUAUGAAUCAAUGUGGCUGAGGACGGUCUAGGCCAUCUAAACGGCCUUUAUCUUCUUUGGAUCAACCUUGAUACCGUAGUUGGACACCACGUGCCCCAAGAAAGCCACUAAACUAAGCCAAAACUUACACUUAGAGAAUUUUGCAUAAAGCUUCUCCUCUCUUAACCUCUGCAAUACAACGCUCAAAUGCUCUGUGUGAUCCUCUUUACUACACGGGUACACCAUAAUAUCGUUAACGAAUACUAUAACAAACGAAUCCAGAUAAGGGCUAAAUACACUGCUCAUCAAAUGCAUGAACGCUGAUGGGCAUUAGUCAACCUGAAAGACAUAACAAUAAACUCAUAAUGACUAUAUCAGGUCCUGAAAGUAGUGUUAAGAAUAUAUAAAUCCCAAAUCUUCAACUGGUGAUAACCCGAAUGUAGAUCAAUCUUGGAGAACACCCUCGCUCCUUGAAGCUGGUCAAAUAAAUCAUCAAAGCGAGCUAAAGGAUACUUGUUCUUAAUUGUUACCUAUUUCAAUUGCCUAUAAUCGAUGGACAUUCUCAUUGUGCCAUCCUUCUUCUUCAAAAACAUAACUAGUGCACCCCAAGGUGAUAUACUAGGCCAAAUGAACCUUUUAUCUAGAAGUUCCUAAAUUGCUCCUUCAAUUCUUUCAACUCUGCUAGUGCUAUACGAUAUGGCAGAAUGGAAAUGGGCUGAGUGCCCAGCACUAGAUCAAUACCGAAAUCAGUACCCAUGUCAAUGGAAUACCCGGCAGGUUUGCAAGAAAUACAUGAAGAAAAUCCCUCACAACUGGAACACAAUCAAUACUAGAAGUCACGGCUCCAACAUCCCUCACAAGCACUAGAUAUGAAAGGAAACCCUUCCCAUCCAUAUGCCAGGCCUUCAAGAAUUAGAUCACUCUGCUAGGAACAUAACCAGUCACACCAUGCCACUCGAUCCGCUGUACACCUGGCAUAGCCAAAGUGACUGUCUUAGCAUGACAGCCUAAAAUAGCAAGACGCAGAGAUAACCAAUACAUGCCCAAAAUGACAUCUGAAUCCACAAUGCUUAACAGCAAUAGAUCCACUCAGGUCUCCAGACCCUCAUAGUCACUACACAUUGAUCGGUACACAUGAUAUACAAUAACAGUAUCUCCCACCGUGGUAGAUACAUGAAAAGGUAAAGUAAGGUACUCCUGAGGCAUACCCAAAUAAUGAGCAAAAUACGAGGAAACAUAUGAAUAUGUGUAACUAGGAUAAAAUAAUAUAGAGGCAUCUAUGUGGCAGAUUGAAACAAUACAUGUACUGACACCAUCUGAAGCAACAAUAGUUGUCCUGCCUGGAAUAGCAUAGAAACGAGCCCGGCCAUUGCUUGAUCGACCUCCCCCUUAAUGGCGACCCCUGGUUGUCUGACGUCUACCCCUAGCUGGAUGGGUAGGUGGUGAAGCAACUAGAGCAGAAGUCAAGGGCUGACCCAUCUGCUGAAAUGAGCUAGCAACACCACGAGGACACUGCCUCCAAAUAUGCCUAAUCUCCACGAACUCAAAACAACUCCCAGGAUCUAUAGAAGGGGACUGAAGGGAACCCCUCGCAUUGGGGUCACUAGCUGAUGUACUUGGGGCAGAAGAACCCUAAACAUAUGGGGCAUGAGAUGAACUCUGAGCUGGGAGGGCGGUGAUUAAUGAUUGGCCCUACUGAACCCCAUGAUAACCACGACCUGAAGAUGCCCCGCGAUACUCUGGACGGGCCGACUGAGCGGGCUUGAAAGAACGACCUCUACAAUGCUAUAACUGGCCCCACGUAGGAGAACCACUAUAAUUAUCUGAUCAUCGAGGCCUCUUGGAAUCCCUCUCCUCUCGAUUCUAACGGUGAAUCUUCUCAAUAUGGCCAGUGAUAUCAACCAUCUUCUCGAACGUAGCACCCAAUACUCACUCUCUCUCUAGUCAUAAGAAUAUGUAGAUGGUAGUUAAGGCCAUCCACAAAUCUCCUAUUGCUCUCGCGAUCUGAUGGAAUCAUCCAGAUGGCUUGCCGAGUCAACUUAGAAAACCACACCUCAUACUUGGACACGAUCAUAUCCCCCUGCUUCAACCACUCAAACUGCCUACGAAGCUCUUCCCUAGGGAAGUGCGGUACGUACUUUUCCAAGAAGAGAGCGGAGAGCUGAUGCCAAGAAAGGGGUGAUGUACUUACAAGACUACGCCUCUAAAAAUCUUCCCACCAAGUGAAGGCAGCCCUUGAGAACUGAAAGGGGGUAAAUGCCACACCACUAGACUUAAGAAUCCCUGUUGUAUUGAGCAUCUUGCUGACACCUGUCUAGAAAACAUUAGGCAUCCUCUUCCUCAACACCACUGAAUGAUGGAGGCUAAAGCCUACCAAACCUCUCAAGAUGACACUACUCAUCAUCCGGCGUAGCUGGCAUGAACUCCUGAGCUGGUGCAACCGGCUGGGCUGUGGUGUCCCUGGCAUCUGUAGUCGCUGCACCACCUUCUCAGUUGUGCGAGCAGCGGGGUCUGAUUGCCUCCUCCGGUGUGAUAAGUAGCUUCUAUGGUAGUGGAUAAAACUUCCUAGCUAGGCCAAUGCAAAGUGAUAAGAUCUGUGCCAUGGCCUCCUGAAGACCCGGGAUCACCACGGGCAUAGUUGGUGCCUGAACUGGUGGUAUUAGAGCAUCCACAGCCGGAGCGUGAUCCUGAGCUGGGGUAACUAGUGGAUCAACAGGUGUUUCCCUCGCUUCUCUACCUUUGCAAUGACCACAACUGUGUCCUCGGCCUCUAGUCGUCUCACUGGGUGGCACUAGUAGUCGUCCAUCUCGUCAGGUAGCUCGUGUCCUUGUUGAUACCAAAAUUUCCCUAUAAAUUUCUUGUACCUAAAUACUUUCACAAUAGUAUAUGUAUGCAUAUAUAAGCAUGCAUAAUAAUUUUGGUAUUUUUCCUUAAUUUUUAAAGAUUUUUAAAAUCAAUUUAAUGACUAUUUUUGACAAUAUAAAGGCUAAAAUUAUUUCCAAAUUAUUAUUUUUAGUGCACAAUGUGUUUAAUUCUCAUAUUUAUAGCAAAACAUAUUUAAUGUAGUUUUUUGCACAUUUUUUACAAAUUUAUUUGGAUUUCUAAAAGUUAAUGCACAAAAUUGCAAUUGUGGCCUAUUUUUCAAUUUGUUAUGUUUUAUAGCUAUAAAAUUAUUUAUAUUAUUUCUAGAAUAAUAUUUAUAUGUUAUUAAGCAGAUUUAUUCUUUCUAUUUAGCUUUUAAAUUAUUUUAUCUAUUUUAUAAAAUUAAUUGGGAAAAGGAGGCUAUUUAAAUUAUAGCCAGAUUUUAUUUACAACAUGGUCCAAAUUCAACCCCCCUCAGGUCAGCCUAAUUAAAUGACCUAAUUUGCCAAAUAACCCGAAUCAGACCCAUUUAAACUAACCCACCCGGGUCCCUCUAUAAAUCGCGGUCGUUGAUCAUUUAAAGCAACGGCCCACAACAGCCCUUUCCUUUGUUAACCCAAGAUCACCCUAACCCUACUCCCAUUCUCUCAUAUCUGCCGCCCUUGUAUCCCCUUCGUCCCCAAAUGCUCUAAAUCACUAUCCAAACCCUAGCCAUCUCCGGCUGCCGACUUAUCUCACCGGAAAAUAUGGCUUCCCAAACCUUGUACAACCUAUGCUCACCCCCCACUCCCUUCUAUGGCUCCUCCGUUCAAGGAUCAAAACCAUACCUUAAAAGUCUCCGGUUCAUAAGACCUCUGAUUCGAGUUUAAUGGCUAUUUUUGGCCUCUCUCAAGCGAUCUCUAGCUUUGUGAGUUCGUUUCUGAUUCAAAGCCCUUCCGUUCCGGGCCUUUCUCAUUUUCCUAGACCCUAAGCUUCGAGAUUUUUCUUCUUAUUUUCUAUAAGAUCUGCUCUGGAUCCGUGAAUGCUAAGUGUUUUUUUAUGUUUUUUCGAUUUUACCUUUCAAAAUUGUUUGUCUUCCUAAAACUAGGUUUUCUCCGGUGUUUCUUUUGUUAACUACUCUAACGUGAUUUCUUUGUUUUUCUAUGAAUUUUGGAUGUUUUACAUGUGAUUCCAUGUAAUUUUUUGCCUAAGUUUUCUCCCAUUCCUUUUUUUUUAACUUCUCUACUGGGAUUUAUUUAGUUCUUGCUAUGACUUUCAAAUGUUUUCGUCUACCUAGGUUUCUAGUAACUCUCUACUGUAUUUUGCUUAAUGCGAGUAUUUUUCUUCUCUCUAAGUUGGUUUACCUGAGUGUACUUUCACUUUAUUCUAUACACUGUGAAAUCUUAGGAAACCCUAGACUUUGGGGUUUUCGACUUUGUGCCUAUUGCUUAUCUGAUUCUUAGACCCUAAUGUAUUUGAGUUUCUUUCAUGCUUCUGAGUUCUUGCUAAGCUUUGCAAGAACUCUAAUCCAUUUCAUGCCUAUGCUUGUGUUCUUUCUGAUUAUCUGACUACUCUGUCAAUCGUAGCCUCGCCUGCUUGAAUUUGUGCAUCUCUUUAUAGUCAUAUUUUCCUUUCAAAUAACUCUAACUUUUGGGGUUUUAAUUUUUUACAAACUUAUUUGAUUUUCUUACCUAGACUUGUUUUCGGAUUGUAUUCGAAUACCUGUUCCUGCUUUUCUGCUUUCUGAUUAUGUGACUACUCUGUCAAUCCUAGCCUCGCCUGCUUAAUUUGUGCAUCUCUUUAUAGUCAUAUUUUCCUUUCAAAUAACCCUACCUUUUGGGGUUUUGAUUAUUUUUACAAACUAAUUUGAUUCUCUGACCUAGACUUAUUUUUGGACUGCAUUCGAAUACAUGUUCCCUUGAUUCCCUGUGUAAUUGAUGACUCAGUUUUCCUUAUUUGUUAAGCCGCGUGUAUUAAAAAAACCUAUCUGUAUUUAACCUCUGUUUUACAACCCAUUCUUGAUUUUAUUUCAAAAUUUGGAACAUUAUUUAAUUAAGUAAGUCUGAACCCCUUAAUUAAAGAGAAUUCUUUCCCUAAUCGAUUUUGAUUGAUACUAAUUUAUUUUCCUUCCUUCUUUACUACUUACUUUCAAGCUAUAAACCCCCUACCUCUCUUCACUACAGACACAAAAAAACUCUCUAUUUUCUUCCCUACUCUUCUCUGUUUCUAAGUGUGCUGCUCGUGUUAGCCGGCUGAAAGCCAAGGCUAACUAUAAGAUCCUAUUUUUUCUAUUUGUAUUGCUGUUUGAAACUUGCAACUGGUAGGUUCCAUGAUUUAAACUAUGUGUUUACUUAUACUUUUCAUAUGUCUAUUUAUGCUUUAUUUCCCUACAUCAUGCAAUUGAACUUCAGCAUAUUACACCCCUUCCUCACAUUCUCCUGUCUUUAAAUCUAUUAUUUUCAUGCACAUCCCUACCCCCAUAUUCCCAUGUGUUUAAUUCUGUUAUGUUUGGUAUUUGUUACCUUCCUGCACAUCCGUUUCCCCAAACCCCUUUCUGAUUAACUAUGUUCUGUUUUAUGCAAAUGCUUUAAUAUUUGAUCCCUUUCCCGACCCUUUGUUGUAUGUGACUGUUAUUUUGGACUAGAGUGGUACCCUAUUUCCACCUCUAGUUUAGAUCCAGGUUGUUCUCAACCUAUACUCAAAGUAAUCCCACUCCCCUAGCCCUCCAUUAUGUGUUGAGCUUUGACUCAGGUCUGUUGGUUCCCUAAUCACCAUACAGGCCUAAGUUUGACUUCUUUCAAGUCUGCUCUUACUUGUUCAACCAUGUAAAGGGCCACGGGUGUGCCAGUCUCCUUCAUAGCUAGAUAUGACCACCUUUGCGUUGGUUAUCCUCUAAUCUUUCACCAUUAAACUCAUUCUUUGUCUCUUAAGCUCUGCCCUCCUUUGGUAAGCCAUGCCUUGGGACCCUUGAGCUCCCUCUGAUCUCGAAUGCCUUAGGGCUGGUAUUUCCUCAAUGCAUUAUUUGGCUACCCUAAGUUAUUCAGGGUGUUAAGCACUGUCGGGAAUCCCUGAGAAUCCUUGGAACUCUUAAAACACUUUGAGUUGAGAAUGACUUGGAAUUUGGAAUCUGAAUUUGGUAAAAUGCUUGGUUUGGACAUUAAAGUUGCUUUGAGCUUCUUCUACUUUUAUCUAAACUAUGCCUUUCCCCUUUUCAAUUCCCAAGUUUCAUGAAUAUUUAUAUGCAAACCUUACUUGUUUAUUUGCAUUAUCUCUCAUUAAGUCACAAUUAGCACUGCCGGGAACCACACUAGUGGAUCUUGAGGGGUGCCUAACACCUUCCCUUCGAGAUAAUUUCAAGCCCUUACCCGAACUCUGGUCUUCUUUUCAAAAUACUCUCUUCUUCAUAAAAGUGUCCUAAUGCACUAUGAUCAUUAGGUGGAGAAUCUUCAACAGCCCUUACCCGAACUCUGGUUUUCUUUUCAAAAAUACUCUCUUAUUAUUAAAAGUGUCCUAAUGCAUUAUAAUCAUUAGGUGGUGACUCUUCAACUUCUAAUACCCAAUUCCCGAACAGGAAUAAGAGUUGUUUUGUCCAUAACAUCGUAAACCUGAUUUUGCUUAUCUUUAGUAGUCGAAAAAGGUGGGCGUCGACAGCAUGGCGACUUUGCUGGGGAUAUCUUUAAGGCGUUUACCAGUACGUGCUUUGUGACUUUAUUACUUUCUUUACUGCCUUUAUUUACCGCUUUAAUUAUUUCUUCAUAAUUACUAACUUGAUUCUUCAUGUUUUUUUUCUUUUCUGUUUUACUACUUUAACUUCAUUUCAAUUCCGUGUUAAAUUUCAACAAUCUAUUGUAAUCAUUAUCUUAUGAACGUGAAAAUACAGGUAUUUAUUUCAUUGUUGUAAUUGCAUCUUUCAACAUCAUGUUCCACUCGUGCCAAACAAAUCCUAUAGCAACGCAUAUAAUGAUUGGUUGCGCUCUUCCAAUAAUACGAACCCGCUAAAUGUGGCAAAGGCAUAUUUAUGGUAAAACCAGUCGAUCAACGGUGUAGUCGACGGUUCCGUGCCUUUCCCUCUUGAGUUGUCUGCUCAAGGGUACCUUGUCUAGCACCUCAAAGGUAGAAACCUUAUUCCGUUAUACUGUUCAUGCAUCAUGUUCAAACGGACAUUCACGUUAUGUGCAUUGAUUUGGAGAACCAAAAGCCUUUUGCUAAUUAUUGAUUAAAAUAGUCGAGUCCGGUGGGGUUAGGGCCUAACACUCUAUUUUGCAGGAAAUGAGGCACGAGGUCCCCAGAUUCGGUAUGGUAUCAAACAUUCACCCAAAGUUACUAAGCUGGUGGGAGAAUCUGCAUUGUAGUGAUCGGAUUCUUGUCCACAAGUACUUAGGUAAUCUUCCUUCACUCCUGGAAGUUAAGCUAGAUAACAAGAUUGUGGAAGCUGCUACUCUAUUUUGGGAUAGUGAAUGGUCUGUCUUUCGCUUUAGGGGUAUUGAAAUAAUGCCGUUGUUGGAAGAAAUUGGGGGUAUAGCGUGAAUUUCUUGGGAUAGCCCGGGGCUACAUAUGCCAAAAAACUGGAAAGGUAGAGGGAUCCUAAAAAUGAUGGGACUCAAAAACAAUCCUAAUCUGACCAGUCUGAAGGACUCCUACAUAUCCUUUGACUUCAUAUAUGAAAGGUUCGGACAUAGAAAAUUCAACCGCACUCACAUGGACGAGUUCGCCCUCACCUCGUUGGGGUACAUACACAAGAUAGCCUUUGUAUUCAUGUUCUGUUUCCUGUGCAUGAUGGUCUUUCCAAUGAAGAAGGCUAGAAUCCAUACAAGACUAGCCAUGGUAACCAAAGCGAUAAUUGAAGGUAUCGACGGGCAGGCAAUCAGCAUACCACCCAUGAUACUCGCCGAAUUGUACCAAUACUUAGAGAAAUGUCAACAAGGGGAACCACACUUUGAAGGGUGCAAUUUGCUACUACAACUCUGGCUUAUUAAAUAUCUCUAGAAGGGAGAUUAUAGACAAGAGAUCAUACGCCGAAACUGGGAUGACCAUAUCGCUUUCAAUCAUCAAAAGCGAAUGCACUUUAUGCCAGAUAUGUUCGCUCGCCCAGAAGACGCUAGUGGAUGGUUUAUAGACAGGAGAUCGUACGACGAGAAUGGGAUGACCAUAUCGCUUUCCAUUAGCCAAAGCGAAUGCACUUCAAGCCGCAUAUGUUCGCUCGCCCGGAAGACGCCAGUGGAUGGGUAGAACUAUUGGAGAAUCUCAGAGAAGAGCGGAUACAAUGGAUGUACGAGUGGUUUCCAACUGAGGAUUUUAUCAUUCGAUCUACGGAUGCGCCAUUCAUCGGCUUAGGAGGAACUUACCCUUAUUUCCCUCUUCGAGUCAUGAGGCAAGCAAGAAGAAAGCAGAUUAUACCAAAGGUAGAAAAGAUGAGUCACUAUAGGGCUGACUUCCAAGAUGACGAUAGCCCAUACAGGUGUCUGCAUAUGUGGCAUUCCAAACUCAUCUUGGGAAAGGAAUCUAUGGAACGAGACAGGUAUCAGGCGGGGUAAGCGCAGUUUUAUCUAGGAUAGUUAUAAGAUGGCCAUAUCGGCUUGGGAAAAAUAGGUUUCGUCCAUGGUCACAGGGUUAUUGAUGAGAAGACUGCAGCAAAGGUCAAGUACAAUCAGCUAUGCAAACGGAUGCGAGAGUGUGAUAAGUGAACAUCGGGAAAUACUAGAGGCCCAAGAAAAGCUAAUCAAUGAGUGGAAGGACAUGGUUGUCUGUGCAAACAACCGUUUAGGGUACUUGGAGCGGGGUUUAGUGGAGCUGGAACGAAAAUUUCUGAAAAUGAUCAACGACUGUCAGGAAGCUGAAGGUAACGAAGGUGGGCACUUGGCCCGGGCUUACUUGUUGCUGGGACUGCGCGAGUUGAUGAAGCUGUACGAGGGAGGCAAAGAUACCGAAUCUGGGGAAGGUCCUUCUGGGACCAUGUAGUUAGGAGUUUUACUGCUUCCUUGAUGUAAUAAGGCCACUGGCCAUUAGUGACAAUUUCUCUUUAUUUCAAUUUGUUUUGACUCGUCUAUUUUCUAUCAAUAAAAUGAGGCACUUGGUGUUAUAAGUUCUCAAAAUUAUAUCUGUCCCUAAGCCUUUCUCGGAUACAACGAGGCACCCAAAUAGGAAACAACUUAUAUUCUUGCAACAAUGUCUUUAGAUACCGCAAUAUUUUCUUUAUCAGAAUCCGCACUAACUUUUUACCUUUUUGUUUUUCUUUUAUUUCUAUUCCCCUCCCGAAAGGUUAGUUCGUUCAUUAUGGAACCAUCAACAUAUUCCACAAGAUCAAAGGGUCCUCCACCUCCUCCUCCUCCUAGUACUCCCAGAAACAGGAACAAGAACAAAAUGAAAAGAUACCAAUGCUAGAAAGGAAGUCGGAGAGGCUUCAAUAACCAAUGAAACUGUUGCUCAUCUCGAGCAAAUUUUGCUAAGGUUUCGAGAAGAGUUGGAACAAGUCUGAAACAUUGCGAUUCUGUCGAUCACACUUGUUGCUGCUGAUGCCAACAAAUCACCACCGCCGCCAACUCAGCCUGCUCAGAACCAAGUCCACAACACAGGCAACAGUGCUCCACUACUUAUCUUAGAGCCCCAAAACACCCCAAGAUAACAAGAACGCUCCCAUCUUUGUGGAUACUGUACCACAUUACGGUCAUCCAGUCACCAAUGUAGCCGAGUCAGACGAUAAAAGCUCUGUCAUUCAGAAUCUGGCUGCUGAGAUUAAGAAGUUGACCAAUCGGGUUCAGGGUUUUAAAAGUCACAAGGGUGUUGAAGGUUUGAACUACUAAGAUCUCUGUGAUCAACCUGACGUUGAGCUUCCAGAGGGGUACAAACCUCCCAAGUUCGAAUUGCUCGAUGGUACCGGGGACCCCAAGGUUCACUUAAGGAUGUAUUGUGACAAGCUAGUAGGAGUUGGUAGGGACGAAAAGAUCUGUAUGAAGCUAUUUAUGAAGAGUUUGAAGGGUGAUACCCUGUCAUGGUAUAUUUUCCAAGAUGGGAUGAAAUGGACGAGUUAGGUGAACAUGGCGUCCGAUUUCAUAGACCGUUUCAAGUUACACACUGAGAAUGCGCCAGAUGUGUUCUAUAUCCAGAAUCUUAAGAAGAAGCCUAUGGAGACUUUUCGCGAGUAUGCUACUCUUUGGAGGUCAGGAGCUGCUAAGGUCAGACCGGCCUUGGAGGAAGAACAAAUGAAUAGAUUCUUUGUCCCUAUUCAAGACCCACAGUACUAUGAAACAUUGAUGCUAAUUGAGGGUCAAAAGUUCUUCGAUAUCAUCAAAUUGGGAUAAAGGAUCGAAGAAGGCAUUAACAACGGUAUGGUAACUAACCUAGAGGCAUUGCAAUCCACCAACAAGGCUCUACGGUAUGAUGGCUCGACAAUGAAGAAAGAGGUAAAUUCUAUAAUGGCUGCGCAAUGAAACAACUUUCCAAUGAAGUACCAAACCUAUCCUUCAGCUCCACUCACACACCAGCCUACCCUAAAUUGCCAAGCACCAUCACCUACGUACCAAAUUCCACCACCUGCUUAACAAUCACCUCCACCACCCACAUACCAACCCACUUCACACCGAUAUUCCCAACCUGCACCCGUAUACCAAGCAUAUAACUCCCAACCUUCUCACUACCCAUUACCACCUACUCGCAAAAAUUUCCAUCGACCUAGACCAAUCUUCGACCGCAAACCUCCUAGAUAAUACACCGCCAUAGCUGAGCCAGCUGACCAAUUGAAUGAGAAACUUAAAGCAACAGGUUACGUCACACCUAUCCCGGCCGUAACUCCAGAAAACCAUUCCCAGUGGAUUAAACCAAACAAUACUUGCGCAUACCAUUCCCGGAUGAAGGGACAUACCAUUGAUGAGUGCCUCUCAUUAAAAGACAAAAUUCAGAACCUGAUUGACAACAAGAUUAUCAUAGCAAAGGAGCCCGCACCUAAUGUCAACAACAACACUCUGCCUGAUCAUAAGGGUGGAGGCAUCCACAUGAUUGAGACCAAAGAUGAUUGGGACCCCAAAGGGUCAAUUGGUUUAAUAGCUGAAAGAGAUGAGCCCAAGAAGUCGGCGGUUACUCUCAGUCCUAUUAUUGUACAAAUCCAGCCGUCUGAGGGUGACGUGAAAAAUGUAUCCCUGCCACUCGAACUUGAAGUACCUUCCGCAAAGACACCAAAACCGAUUGAGGUUGAGUUUGGACCUCCGAAACCACCUACACCAUUUGAAGUUGUUGUGUUACCUCCUAAGGGACCUAUUCCAGUCUGCAUGACAUACAUGAAUCCAUUCCAAACAAAUGCUAUAGGGACUACACAGCCGAGGCGAGAAGGAAAGGAAAGACACACAUUGUACAAGCAACUGCCGCACAGGGCAUGACUAGAACAGGCAAGGUAUAUACACCAGAACACCUAGCUGAGUCCAGCAAACAGGCCUCUGGACGUCUCGUUGAAACCGUACCAAAUGAUCUCUGGAGAAAGAUACAAGAUAAGGAGUAUUAGGUCAUUGAGCAGUUGAACAAAACUCCGGCACAAAUCUCCAUCUUGGCACUUCUAGAGAGUUCUGAGGCACAUAAAAAUGGCUUGAUGAAGAUACUAAGUGAAGCUUAUGUUCCCAUCAACAUAACAGGAGGCGAACUCACAGAUAUGGUGGGACAGAUACUGGAAAUCCAUAAGCUCACCUUCCAUGAAGAUGAAUUGCCACCAGAAGGACUUGGUCACAAAAAAGCAUUGCACAUCACCGCGCAUUGCGAGAAUCACUUUAUCACCAGGAUUCUAGCCGACGGGGGAUCCAGCCUCAACAUUUUUCCGUUGGUGACCCUCAGGACAUUGGGCAAAGGGUUGCACGAGAUCAAAGACAGGGCCAUUAAUGUCAAAGCUUUCGAUUGAUCUCAGAGGCCACCAUUGGAGAAAUCAUCAUGUGCCUGCAGAUGGGGCCCACUUGGUUUGAUGUUGAGUUCCAAGUCAUUGACGAACCCGCAUCCUACAACUUAUUGCUAGGAAGACUUUGGAUUCACGCUGUUGGAGCUGUGGCGUGAACAUUCCAUAAAGCCGUGAAAUUUGUGUGGAAUCAUCAAGAAGUAAUCAUUCAUGGUGAUGGUAGCAACCCCAUAUACAGUCGCCAGGCUAUCCCGAUAAUCGGAGGAAGAAGAAAAAUAGGUGGACAAACAUACCUUCACAUCGAGUGAGUCAAUGCCAUAGACAAGGAAAAAUGGUGGUAUAGUAAAAUUGAAAGCAUUUUGAAUUGGAGCGGGUAUGAGCCCAGAAGAGGGCUUCGCAAGAAUCUUCAGGGAUCACCAAGCCCAUCCAUUUGAAGAAGCAUGGGACUUUUUUUGGCCUGGGUUAUGAAUACACUUGGCAGGAAUUCAAGGACUGGUCACCACCAUGGCGCGGACCAUACUAUCCAUUGGAAUACCCCAUACCUCAAUUGGAGCAGACAUUUCAGCCAGCCGACACUCUCUACGGGUUAGAAUAAGAUGAGACGCUGGCAGCCAUGAAGAACCUGUUUCUGGAAGAGGAUAUGGAUUGUUGUGUUACCUUCGAGGAGGAAGGGGAGGAAGGCCCUUCAAUUUACGCUGCGAAGCGAGGGGAGCGCCUCACCAAUUGUUCAAUCAGGACCACCGUCGCUGUAGAGCCACAAGGUAGCAAGGCUAAACGACGCAUAUGCAUCGCAUUUUACUUUUUGUUGAUUUUACUUUUCUGUAUUGUCUUUACCUUUGAAAAGAGCUCCAAUGUUUCAGACAAUUAUGAAUUUAAUUAAAGCAUUUUCUAAGUUUAUCUUUAUAUUUCGCUCUCAUUUAUUUUCUCUACCAUUUACAUUAUUUCACACAGCAUUACUAUUACAUAUCUUGUUGAUGAACCCAUUACUGUAACUUGAAACGAGACAAUGCGACAAACGGACAUAGAUUCAGAAGAGGAUGAAAUACCAGAAGAGGUUGUUAAAGAGGUAGAAAAUUUCGAGAACAGACCUAAGUCUAAUCUAGACGAAACCGAGGUCUUAAUCUGGGAUAUGCCAAAAAUACCAAGGAAACAUGAAUCAUUGUGCACUUGUCACUGUCAGAAAAGGAAGAAUACACAGAAUUUUUGAAAGAGUAUGAGGACAUAUUCCCCUGGUCAUACGAUGAUAUCACCGGUCUCAGCAUGUCCAUUGUGUCUUACAAGUUGCUGACAGAUCAGGCAUGCCCACCGGUGAAGCAGAAGCUCAAAAAAUUUAAGAAACACAUGAGUUUGAAAAUCAAAGAAGAAGUUACAAAUCAAGUCAAAGCCAGGGUUCUCAGAGUGGUAGAGUAUCCAACAUGGUUAGCCAACAUUGAGUCGGUGCCAAAGAAGGAUGGGAAGGUUAGAGUCUGUGUCGACUACCGGGAUCUCAACCGGGCUAGUCUUAUGAAUGACUUUCCAUUGCCAAAUAAACACAUAUUGAUCGACAAAUGCGCCAAACAUGGGCUGCAGUCGUUCGUUGAUUGUUUUGCUGGGUACCAUAAGAUAUGGAUAGAUGAAGAGGAUGCAGAGAAAACAACGUUUAUCACGCCAUGGGGGAUUUAUUGCUAUUGAAUGAUGCCAUUUGAGGUUAAAGAAAGCAGGGGCUACUUACAUGAGGGCCAUAACUACCCUCUUUCAUGACAUGAUACAUAAGCAUAUCGAGGUAUAUGUGGACGACGUCAUCAUUAAAUCCAGAAAAGUUGCAGAUCACAUGGAAGAUUUGAGAAAAUUCUUCAACAGACUGAGGAUAUACAACUUGAAACUAAAACCCUCCAAAUGUGCACUCUGGGUCCCGGUCAGAAAAUUAUUGGGUAUCGUUGUGAGUCGCCGAGGAAUAGAACAUGAUCCCUCGAAGGUCAAAUCUAUUCAGAAGUUUCCACCACCGAGGAACAAGAAUGAUGUGAUAAGUUUCCUAAGAAGACUCAAUUAUAUCAGCCGUUUCAUAGCUCAGUCCACCGUCAUCUGCGAACCAAUCUUCAAGAUGCUGAAGACGGAUGUUGCCGCUGAAUGGACCGAUGAAUGCCAAAAGGCUUUUGAUAGGAACAAGGAAUAUUUGUCUACACCUCCAUUCCUAGUUCCACCUGAGCCCGGUAGACCUUUAUUGAUUUAUCUCGUAUUUUUGGAUGGGUCAUACGGUUGCAUUUUAGGACAACAUGAUGAAACAAGGAGAAAGGAGCUAGCCAACUACUACCUCAGCAAGAAAUUUACCCCGUACGGGGCUCGGUAUUCCUUACUAGAGCGCAACUGUUGUGCUUUGACCUGGGUAGCGCAGAAAUUGAGGCAUUAUUUCUGUCCUUAAUCUACUUACCUUAUAUCAAGGAUGGAUCCGAUGAAGUAUAAUUUCCAAAAGCCCAUGCCCACUGGCAAGCUCGCCAAGUGGCAAAUUUUAUUAAGUGAGUUCGACAUUGUCUAUGUCAGGCAGAAGGCAGUUAAAGGACAGGCUUUGCCAGAUCAUCUCGCCAAGAAUCCUGUAGGAGGAGAAUAUGAACCCCUAAUAACGUAUUUUCCCGGCGAGGAGGUAGCUUUCAUUGGAGAAGAUAUUGCAGAAUCCUAUGAAGGUUGGAGAAUGUUUUUUGACGGAGCCGUAAACUUCAAAGUAGUGGGUAUAAGAGCGGUUCUGGUAUCGGAAACUGGUUAGCAGUAUCCAGUGUCCGCCAAGCUCAGAUUCCAAUGUACCAACAAUAUGGCCGAGUACAAAGCCUGCAUCUUAGGGCUCAAACUGGCCAUUGGCACGAAUGUUCAGGAACUACUAGUAAUCGGAGAUUCGGACUUACUCAUACAUCAGGUCCGAGAAGAAUGGGCAACCAAAAAUUCCAAGAUAGUCCCCUAUCUAUACCCUGUGCAAGAGUUGAGGAAAUGAUUCAGAAAGACGGAGUUCCAGCAUGUUCCCAGAACAAAGAACGAGUUCGCCGAUUCUUUAGCCACUUUAUCAUCCAUGAUCCAGCAUCCGGAUACAAAUUUUAUUAAUCCUAUUCCGGUCAAGAUUCAUGACCAGCCAGCUUAUUGUGCUCAUGUCGAGGAGGAAGCCGACGGUAAACCUUGGUUCCAAGAUAUCAGGGAAUACUUAACAGCAUGAGGGUACCCAGAGCUUGCCAAAGCUACUCAAAAACGAACACUUCGGAGGUUGUCCAAUAAUUUCUUUCACAACAGAGGAGUUCUGUAUAGGAGGACUCCUGAUUUGGACUAUUAAUGUGUGUCGAGGCAAAAGAAGCAACUAGAGUAUUGGAGGAAGUGCACGCGGGAACUUGUGGGCCACAUAUGAAUGGUUUCGUUUUGGCAAAGAAGACACUUCGAGCGGGCUAUUUUUGGAUAACUAUGGAGACAGACUGCAUCCAGUAUGUCCGGAAGUGUCAUCCUUGUCAUAUACAUGCAGAUAUGAUAAAGUUACCUCCAAACGAGCUCACUACAACGAGCUCACCAUGGCCAUUCGUUGCCUGGGAAAUGGAUGUUAUUGGACCAAUCGAGCCUGCCGCAUCAAUCGGACAUAGGUUCAUCUUAGUGGCAAUGGAUUACUUCAUUAAAUGGGUUGAAGCAGUAACCUAGAAAGUCAUGCCAGACUUUGUCCGCAAGAGUAUUUUCUAUCGGUUCAGGAUCCAAGAAUCAAUCAUCACCGAUAAUAGUUCCAAUCUCAACAAUGACCUGAUGAAAGUAAUGUGUGAAACAUUCAAAAUCAGACAUAAGAACUCUACAACUUACAGACCUCAGAUGAACGAAGCUGUAGAAGCAUCCAACAAGAACAUCAAGAAGAUACUAAGAAAAUUGAUCGAAAGCACAAGAAAUGGCAUGAGAAGUUAUCAGUUGCCUUAUUGGGUUACCGUGCUAAAGUUCGCACAUCAACCGGGGCAACCCCUUACAUGCUGGUUUCUGGAAUGGAGGCGGUCAUUCCCGCUGAGGUAUAGAUCCUAUCCUUAAGGGUCAUACAAGAGGUUGAAUUGGAUGAUGCAGAAUGGAUCAAAAGUCUCUACGAGCAAUUAGCCGUCAUCGACGGAAAGAGGAUGAACGUUGUCUGUCACGGUCAGUUAUACCACCACAGGAUGUCCAGAGCCUUCAACAAGAGAGUUUGACCAAGGAAGUUUACACCAGGGCAACUGGUUUUGAAGAAGAUAUUCCCACAUCAAGAUGAAGCCAAAGGGAAAUUCUCUCCCAACUGGCAGGGUAUGUACAUGGUUCACCUGGUUAUGACUUGAGGAGCCCUCAUCCUUGCUGAAAUGGACGGAGAAGUUUGGCCCAAACCAAUCAACUCAAACACCGUGAAAAGAUACUACAUUUAAUCAUCACAUUUUUCCUUGAUGUAAAUUGAACUACGCUUGUCCUGAUUCCCCAUUAAGAUGGAAUACGUAGGCAGCCCUAUGGGUUCGGUCACAUUAUUAGCAAAAUUCCAUUUUUCCCGAGAAAAUCUACCCAAUAAACUGGGGUAGAGUUUUGAAGAAAGACCUUCAAAAUUCUAAGGAUUCAAUUUUCAGUCAUUCAGCACUGCCGUCAAACAUCGCAGCCUAGUAAACUGGGGCAGAAUUUUUGAGGAGGACCCUCAAAAUUCUAGAGCAAGCAAGGUUGUCGUGUCUUGAACCACAUUGCGGUUGUUGGUUCAUCAUAAAACAAAAAAAAUUAUUAUUAUUUUUUUUAUUUAUAUAUAUAUUUCCAUCAUGUUUGCUAAAUCUUUUGCAUUAAACCAUUCGGAUCAAUAACGUUCAGCAACGCUACCCCAAAUGGAAUAGGGCGCCACCAGCCGAGAGAUACGAACUAACCACCCCCUUUACAGAACUCAUGAUUUUUCUUUAGAUGCAGGAAUUCAGGAUACAAAUCGGCAAUGCAUGCGCAUUACAUAGCCGAAACUCUCCAAACAACUACUUACUUCGCAAAAGGUCUACUACCUACAUCCAACAUCUCCCCAGCAUUCAUGAUAUCGCAAUCAUCUACCAGCUAAUAAAACCAUUACUAUCUCCUCAUUUACGUUUCCGCAUUGCAUAAGGCUAUUCUCUGCCUUCCAAGGUUAAGCUAUACCUCAAUCCUGCAUAAGGCUACUCGUUGCUUUUCGAGACAAAGCUCUGUCUCCAUCUUGCAUUUUUGCAUAUGGCUACUCUCUACCUUCCGAGAUUAUGCUCUACCUCCAUCUGCAUAAGGCUAUUCUCUGCCUUCUGAGGUUAAGCUCUAUCUCCAUCCUACAUAAGGCUAAUCUCUGCCUUUUGAUACUAAGCUUUGUCUCCAUCCUGCAUUGCAUAAGGCUUUUCUCUGCCUUGCGAGGUUAAGCUCUUCCUCCAUCCUGCAUAAGGCUAUUUUCUGCCUUGCGAUACUAAGCUCUGUCUCCAUCCUGCAUUGCAUGAGGCAAUUCUCUGCCUUACGUGGUUACGUUCUACCUUCGUCCUGCAUAAGGCUACUCGCUGCCUUUCGAGACUAAGCCCUGUCUCCAUCUUACGUUUUUGCAUAAGUUUAUUCACUGCCUUCCGAGGUUAAGCUUUACCUCCAUCCUACAUAAGGUUAUUCACUACCUAUCAAGACUAAGCCAUGUCUCCAUCCCGCAUUUCAUAAGGCUAUUCUCUGCCUUCCGAGGUUAAGCUCUACCUCCAUCCUUUAUAAGGCUAUUCACUGCCAUUUGAGACUAAGCCGUGUCUCCAUCCCGCAUUGCAUAAGGCUAUUCUCUGCCUUCCGAGGUUAGGCUCUACCUCCAUCCUGCAUAAGGCUAUUCGCUGCCUUUCGAGACUAAGCGCUGUCUCCUUCUGAGGUUAAGCUCUACCUCCCUUAUUUGGUUGAAAAAUUGCCACCCUGUUUCAUUUGGCUGAAAUAUCGCCACCCUGCAUUUUAAGAUCUUGCUCGGCUGACACAUCGCCACCCUUGCAUUCAUUCAGCUAAAAUAUUGCCACCUUUUGAUGGGUUGUAAUAUCGCCAACUUAUUCAAAGGCGUCAUAGUUCGGAGGAACCAUCUGCAUAGCCCGAUAACACCAUUUCAUGGCCUACGAAUCUUUAUUUUUAUGCUCUUAAUAGCCCAGGACGUCAUAGUUUGAGGACGCCAUCCUAAUCGUCCGAAUACAGCAUUCAUGGUCCAAUGGGAACUUGCAUCAUAUAUAAAUUAUGCAAUAUAUACGCACAUCGACUCGUUGCAGGUACAUCGUCUGGCUCACAGCUGUCUUAGCAGGAGCGAUCCCGCUCCAGUCCUCCGCAGCCUGUCCAAUCUCCAAACCCCUGUCGCAUCUCAAACCAUGUUGCGUCCGUCUUUUCUGAACCUCCAUCGGCAUAUUCCGCCAAAGGUUCCUGAACUACAAAUGGCCAGAUUCCUGUAAAACCAGGGAUAUGUAGGCAGCUCAGAAACUAGAGCGCGUUCAAAACUCUCUUACAAUCGCCAAUUCCGGUCAAAAUUGGCCUUCUUAUCUUUACCCGACAACUCAAUCAUCCUCCUCGGGUAAAGAGGAGCAGCUGUUGAUACCUAAUUUUUUCCUAUUUAUUUCUUGCACCCAAAAUGCUUUCAAAAUAGUAGAUAUAUACAUAUAUAAGCAUGCCUAGGAAUUUUGGUAUUUUUCCUUAAUUGUUAAAAAAAUUUAAAAUCAAUUUAAUGACAACUUUUGACAAUAUAAAGGCUAAAUAUAUUUCCAGAUUAUUAUUUUUAGCGCACAAUAUGUUUUAUUCUCAUAUUUAUAACAAAACAAAAUUUAUGUAAUUUUUUGCACAUUGUUUUACAAAUUUAUUUGUAUUUUUAAAAGCUAAUUGCACAAAAUUGCAAUUGUAGCGUAUUUUGCAAUUUGCUAUGUUUUAUAGAAAAUAAUUUUUAAUAUUUUUAGAUUAAUCUUUAUAUGUUAUUAAGUAGCUUUAUGCUUUCAGUUUUGCUUUUUAAACUAUUUUAGCUAUUUUAUAAAAUUAAUUGGAAAAAAGGCUAUUUAAAUUAUAGCCAUAUUUUAUUCAAAACAUGGCCCAAAUUUAACCACCCCCCCAGGUCAGGCGAAUUAAACGACCCAAAUUUCCAAAUAAUUCAACCCAGACCCAUUGAAACUUACCCGCCCGGAUCCCUCUUUAAAUCGCGGCCGUUGAUCAUUAAAAUCAAUGUCCCACAACAGCCCUUUCCUUUUUAACCCAAGAUCACCCUAACCCUACUCCCAUUCUCUCAUUCCUGCCGCCCUUGUAUCCACCUCAUCCCAAAAAUGCUCUCAAUCCCUCUCCAAACCCUAGCCCUUUCCGGCCAUUUGCCGGCUUAUCUUACCGGAAAAUAUGGCUUCCCAAACCUUGUACAACCUAUGCUCACUCCCACUCCCUUCUAUGGCUCCUUUUUUCAAGGAUCAAAACCAGACCUUGAAAGUCUCCGGUUCAUAAGACCUCUGAUUCGAGUUUUAUGGCUAUUUUCGGCCUCUCUCCGGCGAUCUCUAGCUUUGUCAGUCUGUUUCCAACUCAAAGCUCGUCUGUUCCAGGCCUGUCUCAUUUUCCUGGAAACCCUAAUCUUCGAGGUUUCUCCUCUUAUUUUCUUUAAGAUCUUCUUAGGAUCUGUGAAUGCUAAGUGUUAUUUUAUGUUUGUCGAUUUUACCUUUCAAAAUUGUUUGUAUUCCUAAAACUAGGUUUUCUCGGAUUUUUCUUUUCUUAUCUACUCUACUGUGAUUUAUUUUCUUUGCUAUGACUUUUGGAUGUUUUACCUGUGAUUCCAUGUAAUGUUUUGCCUAGGUUUUAUCCGAUUCAUUUUUUUAACUUCUCUACUGGGAUUUCUUUAGUUCUUACUAUGACUCUCGAAUGUUUUCCUCUACCUAGGGUUUCUGGUAACUCUCUAUUGUAUUUUGCUUUCUGCUAGUUUUUGUGUCCUCUCUAAGUUGGUUUACCUGAGUGUUCUUUCACUUUCUUCUUUACACUGUGAAAUGUUAGGAAACCCUAGACUUUGGGGUUUUCGACUUUGUGCGUGCUGCUUAUCUGAUUCUAAGACCCUAAUGUGUUUGAGUUUCUUUCACGCUUCUGAGUUCUUGCUAAGAUUUGCAUUAACUCUAAUCCAUUUCGUGCCAUGCUUUUCUGCUUUCUGAUUAUGUGACUACUCUGCCAGUUCUAGCCUCGCCUGCUUAAAUUUGUGCAUCUCUUUAUAGUCAUAUUUUCCUUUCAAAUAACCCUAACUUUUGGGGUUUUGAUUUUUUUUUACAAACUUAUUCGAUUCUCUGACCUACACUUGUUUUCGGACUGUAUUCGAAUACAUGUUCCCUUGAUUCCCUAUGUAAUUGAUGAUUUAGUUUUCCUUAUUUGUUAAACCACGCAUAUUAAAAACCCUAUACGUGUUUACCCUCUGUUUUUCAACCCAUUGUUGAUUUUCUUUCAAAAUUUGGAACUCUAUUUAUUUACCCUAAGUCUGAAUCCCUUAAUUAAAAGGAAACCUUUCCCUAAUCGAUUUUGAUUGAUACUAAUUUAUUUUCCUGCCUUCUUUACUACUUAAUUUCAAGCUGUAAAACUCCCCCACCUCUCUUCAAUACAGACACAUAAAAAAGAACAUUUUUUUCUUACGUUCAGCAUCUAAAAAACUCUCUUUUCUUCCCUUCUCUUCUUUGUUAGUAAGUGUGUUGCUUGUGUUAAGAAAAGGUUAACUAUAAGAUCCUAUUUGUUCUAUUUGUAUUGUUGUUUGAAACUUGCAACUGGUAGGUUCCAUGAUUUAAAUACCUCCUCCAAACUAUGUGUUUACUUAUGCUUUUCAUAUGUCUAUUUGUGCUCUAUUUUUGUACAUCAUGCAAUUGAACUUCAGCAUCUUACACCUAUUCCCCACAUUCUACUAUCUUUAAUUUUGUUAUUUUCCUGCACAUCCUUACCCCAUAGUCCCAUGUGUUUAAUUCUGUUAUGUUUGGUAUUUGUUACCUUCCUACACAUCCCUUUCCCCAAACCCCUUUCUGAUUAACUAUGUUCUGUUUUAUGCAAAUUCUUUCAUACUUGAUCACUUUCACGACCCUUUGUUGUAUGUGAGUGUUGUUUUGGACUAGAGUGGUACCCUAUUGCCACCUCUUGUUUAGAACCAGAUUGUUCUCAACUUAUACUCAAAGUAAUCUCACUCCCUAAACCCCCCAUUAUGUGUUGAGCUUUGACUCAGGUCUGUUGGUGCCCUAAUCACCACACAUGCCUAAGUCUGACUUCUUUCAAGUCUCCUCUUACUUGUUAAACCAUUUAAAGGGCCAGGGGUGUGCCACUCCUCUUCAUGGCUAGGUAUGACCACAUUUGCAAUUGUUAUCCUCUAAUCCUUCACAUUUACACUCAUUCUUAGUCUCUUAAGCGCUGCCCCCCUUUGGUCAUCCAUGCCUUGGGACCGUUGAGCUCCAUCUGAUCUCGGCUGCCUUAGGGCUGGUACUUCUACACUGCACUAUUCUGUUACUCUAAGUUAUUCACGGUGUUAAGCACUGCCGGGAAUCCCUGGAAAUCUUUGGAACUCUGAAAACACCUUGAGUAUGAGAAGGCCUUGGAAUCUGGAAUCGGGAUUUGGUAAAAUGCAUGGGUUUGGACAUUAAAGUUUCUUUGAGUUUCUUCGGGCAUGUUGUAGUUCUGAUGUAUUUAUUUUAUUCUCUUUUUGUCCUUUCUUUUAAGUUUUGUAAUAAUUGGUAAAACGAUUUGGGGAUAUUCGUUAAAGGGUGUGGGAAGUGCUUUACUAUUUCUACAUAUGUCAAAUGGUAGAAAUCAUGUUCAUAGGGUUCUAUGCUUAAAUCAUUUAUAAAGCAUGCAUAUAGGACUUGCAUAUUUUCAUAAUCAAACGAUUAUAGAAAUCCUAACUAUAGGACUUACAUACUUUCAUAAUCAAAUUCAUAUUGAAAUCCUGCCUAUAGCAUUUGCAUACGCGAUUGGCGAGCUGUAGGGUUAAACGUUCAAUUAUUUCAUUAACCAAUUUUAAAAUCAGUAGCAUAGACAUCAUCAUGCCUAUAGGAUUGACUGUCAAACUCGCCUUAUUCUCAAACUGUUAGUAAUGCAUGCGUGUCUCAAGUCUGUGUUUUAAAAACAAAUUCUGAUUUCCAACGGUCUUUGAAAUAAAGUUCUGCCCAAAGUAUUUUCUAUGAAACAGUCUUCUAGAAUAAUCUACCUGCUCAAAAGCUUCUGCAUAAAACUACUCUGCCCCAACGUUUUUGAAACAUAUGUGCAACUCGUUUUCUCCUCAAAUAUGUUUGUUUAUUUUAAACCUUUUCUGCAUAUUUUAUUUAUAUUGUCCGCUAUUUUUUUUUCAAGUCUUUUAUUUCUCCUACUAAAACUCCCCUGUUUUCUCAAAUAAAACAAUUCCUGAUAACAUGCCCGGGGAGCUCGACACAGAUUUUCUAUCCAGCUUUAUGUGUUUAACUAACACCAUUCGCGAUCAGCUUUAAUCUUAAGACCGAACCUGUAUUUGUAAGCAUGCUAUACUAAUUGCUGCUAUGGUUUACGGGGUUUAUAUGAGCCUUUGAAUUUCUGAUUUGCAUACCCUUAUAUGUUAUUUGUUUUGAUUGACGCUUAGUAUUUUUGCCUUUGAAAAUUCCAUAUAUGCCCUAUCUUUCUCUCCCUCUCUUAAGUUUUGAAUUCCUAAUACCCCGGAACUAAUAGGUUUGGACGGGUAUUAGCAUGCAAUAAGCAAACGAGACCAAACGAUACCUUAACGGGGUGGGAAGGGUAGAAUAUGGAGAUGAUGACGAUGCGAUAAUACCAUAAAGAGACCCCUCUUUGGGAAUAUGUGCGGGAUAUUGUAUCAAAUGAUUCAUAUAUAGUCAAGCCUAGGACCUCUUUCUCUUUACUUGCUUUAGUUAAACAGUUUUCCUAAUGUAAUGCUUUUCAAAUAAGUUCUCUCUUCUACUUUUAUCUAAACUAUGCCUUUCCCCUUUUCAAUUCCUAAGUUGCUUGAAUAUUUAUAUGCAAAACUUACUUAUUUACUUGCCUUGUCUCUCAUUAAGUCACAAUUAGCACGGCCGGGAACCACACUAGUGGAUCUUGAGGGGUGCCUAACACCUUUCCCUCGAGAUAAUCUCAAGCCCUUACCCGAACUCUGAUUUUCUUUUCACAAAUACUCUCUUCUUCUUAAAAGUGUUCUAUUGCACUAUAAUCAUUAGGUGGUGACUCUUCAACUUCCAAUACCCAAAUCCCAAACAUGAAUAAGAGUUCUUUUGUCCAUAAUGCCGUAUAACCGAUUUCGCUUCUUUUUAGUAUUCGAAAAAGGGGGUGUUGACAGUCCUCAUCACCUGUGAUAGAAUAGAAUAACAGAAGUUUAGUACUCGAAUCCACAAGUUCGCACGAUAAGAAUUUCAAGAAUAAGAAGUUUUCCUAAAGCUUCUGCAACCUCUCGAGGAUAAAUACAGACAUCUCCAUACCGAUACGCGAGACUCUACUAAACCGGCUCAUGACUUGCGAGACCUAUAUAACCUAGGCUCUGAUACCAACUUGGCACAACCCCAAACCCCCGUCAUAAUGGCAUCCAACACAUUUCAAGGCAGGCCGGACCAACUAUCAACCACAACCCAUUUCCUUACAAGAUUCAUCAUCACCUAACACAGUUAAUUACCAACUAAGCAAAAUAAAUGUCUAAAUAGCGAGUUAGAUAUGCGGAAGUCAAGAGAUAAUACUACCACAUAGCACACACUGAUCUGGUAUCACAAGUCUCGAGCCUCUAAUACCAGUUCAACAACCUACUACAUAGACAGUCUAGGAAAUACGGAAAAUAAAAGGAUAGAAGGGAGAAACCACGGCUGCGGAUACUAUGCAGCUAUCUCGAUAUCCCCGACAAUGCAAAUCCGCUGGAAAGCCCUCACUCAGCCGUUGAAAGCUUCAAUAGCUUUCCUCUUCGUUUCAGUAGAGGAAUCAAUUCUAAAAAUAUGUUAAAUAAAGAUGGAUUUUAUUUUAUCUUAGAGAGUAAAACUUCAGAAGCAAACAUGUUGAUGCAACAGUAUACAUGUAUAUGAGCAUGAAGUCUAGAUUGAAUUAAAAUAUGGAUAUCCUUGUCGUUUGGCCCAUAUUUCAUUUGAUUUAGUUUAGCAGUAAAUUCCUUGAAGUAAAACCAAGUCUCUGAUGUCAUGCUCUCUAUGUUAGUAUUCCCCCCUGGACUGCCCGGGUUUAUAACCACUGGGCCUAAUAGUGGCCCAUCUGCAUAAUACUAGACCAAAUACUUUUGGCCUUGUAAUUAAUCUUACCCAAUUAAGUCCAUGGGACUCCAUCUUGAGCCUCAGGUCCUGCUGGAUAUCUAUUUAGGCAUGUCCCAAGGCGCAGGCUUGAGACCAUUUUACAGACAGCAAUGACAAUAACAACAAUCAAGUAUAGUCCCAAAAAGUGGGGUCUGGGGAGGGUAAUAUGUAUACGAGCCUUAUCCCUACCCGAAAGGGCAGAGAGGCUGUUUCCAAUCGACCCCCGGCUCAGUGAUGGAAAGGAAAAACAAAAACAAAAACAAAAGAGCAUUAGUAACUCCAGCAGAAAUAGCGUAAAUNNNNNNNNNNNNNNNNNNNNNNNNNNNNNNNNNNNNNNNNNNNNNNNNNNNNNNNNNNNNNNNNNNNNNNNNNNNNNNNNNNNNNNNNNNNNNNNNNNNNNNNNNNNNNNNNNNNNNNNNNNNNNNNNNNNNNNNNNNNNNNNNNNNNNNCAUAAAUAAAAUAGCAUGCAAUAAUAUCAGACAAUAACUACCAUAAAUAACUACCAUAAGGGAGACACAAUCCAAUGCACAAAUCAUCUAUGGAUAGACCUGCCAAGCCUCGCCCAACCCCGGGUAAGGAGUAAGAAAAACUCUAGGAGCCCCUAUCCUACAACCCUGAUAGUAGACCUCCAGACGUUGCUAUCAAGGGCCAUGUCCUCGGAAACCCGCAUUCUAGCCAUGUCAUGCCUAAUCACCUCUCCCNNNNNNNNNNNNNNNNNNNNNNNNNNNNNNNNNNNNNNNNNNNNNNNNNNNNNNNNNNCCGUACAUGCCCGAACCACCUCAGCCUCGCUUCUCGCAUCUUCUCAUCCACCGGGGCCACUCCCACCUUCUCUCGAAUAACUUCAUUCUUAACCUUAUCUAACCUGGUGAGCCCGAACAUCCACCUGAUCAUGCUCAUCUCCUCAACCUUCAUUUUCUGAACGUGAGAGUUCUUCACUGGCCAGCACUCCGCCGCAUACAACAUGGCAGGUCUAACCACAGCUCUAUAAAAUUUCCCCUUGAGUUUCUGUGGAACUUUCUUGUCACACAUAACUCCUGAUGCAAGCCUCCACUUUGACCACCCCGCUCAUAUACUAUGAUAUGAGUAAGGUUAAUCGAAGGCCGGGGACGUCCCCGUCAAUCUCUCUGUCCCCCUGAAUCACCGACCCAAGAUUUGAUGAGUGACGUCCCCGUAAAUCUCUUCGUCCCCUUGAAUUACCGACUCAAGAUAUCUGACACUGUUUUAAAAAAUAAAAUCGGAUAGCCUCCGUUCUUCUUGGGCUGGCUUCGAGGCCCAACAUGCUAAAAGUCUCAUCGCGUUAUUAGAAUUGUGGGUGGAAUUUAGAUGUAGGUUUGGGCAUUCCAAUCUAAGUAACGAACUUGAAUAAAGCGGUCUUCAAUAACAGAGAUCCCUUUGUAUAAGCUCCCACUUGAAUUUGUGGGCAGAAUUUUUGAAUAGUACUUAAUAAAUAAUGUUAAUCAAUUAGGCCCUUUAGAGACAAUACUUAAUAGAAAAUUAUAGUUCUUUUAGAUUGACCUUUAAAAUAAAAUGAGGUGUGCCACGCCAAACAAAAUUCAUAUACUGCGUAGCCCUCUUUAAAUACUCACAUUAAAAUACUUAGGAAUCGGGACGUGCCAUUUAGCGAAUUUUCAUGGCCUCCCGCAAUGUUAAUAAAACGUUAGUCACUUUAGGCGCGUUCUUUAAUAAUUUUUCCUUCCUAAAUUUGGGUGUGUAUUCUAUGUGACCCAAAUCCAAAUCUCAAAAUGUUAAAUAAAAUAUGUUAAGGAUUCUGGUGCAUUUCAUGUGACGUGAUCCAAAAACAUAUUUUAAACGACGUUCAAUUUCCUUAAAAUUAAUUAAAAUUGAUUAUUGCAUGAUGCUACUGACUCCUUCUUAUUUUGCUUCAAUUCCAUAUAAUAUUUCAGCCUCACAUGACAUGUAGAAAAUGAGUCAAAGUUGAUCAAUAUUGGAAGAGAUGAUGAAACACAAUAUGAUCUCAUGAAUACCAGUACUCUAGUUUAGUUUAAACUCAUAUUAUAACUGUAUUAUGUGAACGUUAUAUGAUUUGUACUAAUUGGACUGUAUAAACUAUUUUCAGACGUGUAUGAGUGUUAGGAGUAUGGUACUAGCUGUAAAUGUCUAGUUUUAGAUUAUCAUAUGAUUUUAAUCACUGAACAUUACAUAUUAUCUUAGUAACUUCACAAAAUUAUUUUUUGCCUCAUUUUAGUACAUGAACCAAGUGUUAAUUACCGAAAAUUUCCGACGUCAUAAAAUGACACGUCAAUACAUUUUUAGUUUCUAUUUAUCUCGAAAAUACGAGUAACAAUUAAAUUUAAUUUGUGGUUUUAAAGAUAUGAGAUUUAGUUCAAUACUAAUUAAUAAUCAAGAAAUAUAAAGUAAAAAUGAAAAGAAUAAGUGAAUCAAACCAGUAUUACUUUGCAAUAUUGACCUCGAGCUCAAUGACCUUGAGAUGAACCAAAAACAAUAAAGUAAGAACAAUAAAGAUAAAGGACAAUUCUGAUGAACAAUGAGCGAAAAAAUAAGAUAGUAUAUUUUUUGCCAAUGAUUAGAUGAUGUUUACAAAUGAUUGGGGUCCCCUUUAUAUAGGAUGUGAACCCUAAAAAUGGUACAUUUCUAGUUACAAUAGAGAAUCUUAUUGGAACAGCGGUAUAACCGCCUAGUAUGAAUUUGUACUAAUACGUACAAAUAAACUCCGAAAUUUACGACAUGAUCUUGGGGACACGGCGAGAAUCUUAUCCUUCUGUAACAAACUUAUAACGGCAUUGUCUCAGAGCCGGUCGUGCUUGGCUCCGACGUUCCUCGUGCACUUCGAAUCUCGGGCACUGCAUUCUGUCUUCAAGCUCAGGUCUAGUCCAUCGAAUUCGGACUCGACCUUACCUAAACCCGGGCUUGAAUCGGCUACUCGAACCCGGAAGAUCGAGCAUACCAGAUUUUGACCAUAUACAGUUUCUUUUAUGAAUCCAGCUUGUAUGUAAAAAUGCAUUCCUUGAGUAUCCUUGAAGGACUAUUAUUCCAUCAAAAACGUUGAGUUACUGCUAAAUGCUAUGGCAGAUUUUUCAAUAGAACGACCACAAAAAUCAUAGUUCUACAGAAAUUUUCAUGCACAAAAUUGUUGAAAUCUCUAUAGUUCCUUUACUUUUCAUAGUAUAAAUUAUGCAAACUCUAUAGUUGAAAUCAUAGUAUUAUGCAAACUCCUCAAAUCAUCAUUGAAAUCUCUAUAGGUCCUUCAACUUCUUUGAGUUCACCUUCCUUCCAAUUAGCUAUCACCAUAUCAUCAUUUUCCCUUCUCAUGAAUUUCUAAACCAUAAUAGCUAAGACAUUUAAAUUUGUUGCCCAAAAAGAAAGAGAAUAUUCAUCAUCGCGGCCGGCCAGAAGUUAAACGGUGGUGCAAUCUCGUAUCGAGGAGUGUAUUCUCCCGCUGUGUGAAACAAUAUUCAAUUUCAAAAUCAAACAACCGGCAUCGAUAACAUGCCGAUAUGAGCCCAUGUCUCGAUAUAUAUGUUUGAUAAUCAAAGAUAAACUCGAGUAGGUAAAAAAGGACUGCAGCUGGGAGAAAGAAAACAUAGUGAACCCUUCCCAUAAAGAGAACAUAACUACUCAUAAAGAAGAGUAUCUAUCACGAUCCAAAGCCCGGUCAUGAUGGCGCCCAACAAUAAUUGCUAGGCUAGCCCGACCAUUAAACACUCUCAACCCAAGUACGAAAAUCCAUUACUAAUUAAUAGAGUUAAAUUUUCAGAUAAUAUAGUUCAAACCAGAGAUAAUAGAUAGAAAUAAUACGAAAAAUCAUAAGCAAUAUCAAUACAACUCCCAACAGAUCUAGGGUCAUGAGUCUAGAGCCUCUAAAUACAACUGAGUAGACAAUAAAAACAAAUGAGGGUCUAAGAUGCGGGAAGAAAUGACAGGGGAGGAGUCGGGUCAUACGGACGACUGGCAGCUACCUCGACAACUUCGGGAUAAAUCUGAAAACAACAACAGUACGACUAAGCUCCCGAUGCUCCUGAAUCUGCACACAUGGUGCUUGGAGUAAAGUGAGUACUUCCAACUUAGUGGUAGUAGACAUAUAUAAUGACUAAAAGUAAGAAAUCUCGAAAAUACCACAAUGUAAAGCUGAGACUUAAAACUUAGCACAUUUAGCGGUGAAACAACAACAAAUCAAAAACCGAUAGACAAAUAGAUAUCAAUGCAUGAAUGCAUUGCAAUGCACAUGACCGCUGCGGCGGACAACCCGAUCCAUUUGGGUACCUGUGCUCACUGUGGGGUUUCAGACUCCGGAGGAGCUCCUUCAACCCAAGAGCAAUAUAAUCAUAGUAUUCGCUGCGGCGUGCACCCCGAUCCACAAUCAGACCAGUUUUAUGCAUGCAAGCCACACGAGCACAGUCAAAUCAAUCAUUUUUCAGUUCCAACUAUCAGGAAUAUAGCUUAAGUGAUUAAAACCUUAGAAAUUUACUAAUCAUUUCUAGACAGUGUUUAACUCAGGACUGAUAUCAUGAAAACACCCUCAACAUCAUGGAAACAGUGGCAAUAAACCCAAAGGAAUCCAAAUAAUCAGCAUGCAGCCCAAAUAUGCUCAUAACAAUCCAAGUAGGAUGUUUACAAUUCAAUUUCUAGUCAAUAACACAUUAUGAACAUCACUCGGACGGACUAAUCCAUAGUCCCCGUCCACAAGCGUCCCCGCACUCAUCGUAGAGUACGUGUCUCCCCUCAAUACAGCGUCACGGUGUGAUAUACCGGGGUUUCAAACCCUGAGGUCAUCAUCUACAUCUAUUACUCACCUCAAAACAGCCGAAGACUAGCCCACAAUUCCCUUUCCUCUCAUAUCGACCUCCUCGUGUGUCGAAUCUGGCCAAAACAACAACAAAUACAUUACAAUAGGCUAAUAGAACACAACCCAACUGAAAGACUCGAAAAAUACAAAAAAUUGCGAAGUUGGCAAAACCCGAGCCCCGGGCCCACUUCUCAAAAAAUUACAAAAUUGCCAUCACCGGGCUCCUCGUCUCACCACGAGUCUAUACAUAUCAAAAUUACCAAAGUCGGACUUCAAUUGCUCCCUCAAAUACCAAAUUUUUAUUUCAAAACCCAAGCCAUAAUUCUUCAAUUUUUCACCCAAAUUCUAAGCAUUAAAUGUUGAUUCUUCAAUAAAAUAGGGUUUCUAGGUCAAAAGACUUACCUCCAAUCACUUCCCCUCAAACCCUCUUUAAUUUCUACCAAAAAGCUCUUGAGAUGGCCAACAAUGGAGGAAAAUAAUGAUUGGGUCGCUCAUGAAAUAUUUAAUAAAACCUCAUUCUGCCCAGCUAUGUCCUACUAUACGAAUGCAAGACCCCCUCGCAUUCACAAAGCACAAGAAUUCCUCAGAAAAAAUUAACCCUUUCGCAAACGCGUCACUCCACCCACGAACGCGAUACUUGAACAUCUGAUACUAUGUGAAUACGAUCCUUCAACGCAAAUGCGAGGCUCAACGAUCCCCUCUUACGCAAACGCGACUUCCACGUCACGAAUGCACUGAACAACCUAGGCAGGACCCCCAGGCCCUUCUAUACGAACGCGAAGAGACUACCGCGAACACGAUGACCCAAGACAUCACCACUACGCGAAUGCGAUUACCCCUCCGCGAACGCGGAGCACAAGGGUGGUCUGCAACUGCUAUUGUUAUUCUGUAAUAAAAAAUCCUAAGUCCAAACUUCACGUUUAACCAUCUGAAAUCACCCCGAGGCCUCUGGGACCUCAACCAAAUACACCAACAUUCCCAAAACAUCAUACGAACUUAUUCCAAUCAUCAAAUCACGUCAAUCAACACUAAAAUCAUCAAUUCCCCACUGAUUCAAGCCUAAGUUUCUUCAAAACUUCCAAAACACACCUUAAAUCAAAAACCCAACCAAACAAUCUCCAAUGACCUAAAUAUUUUUGCACACAUAUCCAAAAUCACCUAACGGAGCUACUGCAACUCUUGGAAUUCCAUUCCGACCCUCGGAUCAAAAUUUCACCUAUCAACCGAAAUUCGGCAAAAUUCAAACUUUGCCAAUUCAAGCCUAAUUCUACACCGGACCUCCAAAUUCAAUUCUGAUCACACUCCUAAGUCAUAAAUCAUGCCCCUAAGCUAACCGAUUCAACAAAAUUCACAUCCGAGCCCUCUAAGUAAAUAGUCAACUUCCAGUUGAUCUUUCCAAAACAAGCUUUCCUUUAAGAGACUAAGUGUCUCAUUUCCAUCUAAAACCAAUCCGAUUCUACCCGAUCAACUCAAAUACCGAUAUUGAAACAUAUAGAAGCAUAAUAUGAGGAAAACGGGGCGGUAACUCACAUGACGACGAGCUGGGUCGUUACAUCCUCCCCAACUAAUAGAAAUGCUCGUCCUCGAGCGGAUUAAGAAACAUACCUGAAGUCUCAAAUAAGUGAGGAUAUUUGCUCUGUAUCUCCUGCUCGAUCUCCCAAGUUACCUCCUCCACGAGCCGACCUCUCAACUGCACCUUCACCGAAGCUAUCUUCUUAGAUCUCAACUUUCGAACCUGACGACCCAAAAUAGCCACUAGCCCCACAUCAUAAGUCAAGUCCUCAUCCAGUUGGAUCGUAUUGAAGUCUAACACACAAGACGGGUCCCCAGCAUACUUCCGGAGCAUAGAAACAUGGAACACCCGGUGAACCCCCGACUGGGUGGCAAAGCAAGCAUAUAGGCCACCUCUCUAAUCCUCCUAAGUAUCUCAAAAGGUCCAAUGAACUGUGGACUCAGCUUCCCUUUCUUUCCAAACCUUAUAACACCUUUCAUAGGUAAAACCUUCAACAAGACCUUAUCGCCCACCAUAUAAGAUACAUCUCGGACCUUCCGGCCGCAUAACUUUUCUGACGUGACUGCGCUGUUCGAAGUCUCUCCUGGAUCACUUUCACCUUCUCUAAGGCAUCCUUAACUAACUCUCUCCCCAAUAGUCUAGCCUCGCCGGGCUCAAACCAACUAAUAGGAGAUCUACACCGUCUUCCAUAUAAGGCCUCACACGGCGCCAUCUGAAUACUGGAUUGAUAGUUGUUAUUGUAAGCAAACUCUGCAAGUGGCAAGAACUCAUCCCUAGAAACUCCAAAGUCAAUAACACAGGCACACAACAUGUCCUCCAAUAUCUAAAUAGUACGCUCAGACUGUCCAUCCAUUUGAGGAUGGAACGUUGUGCUCAACUCUACCUAUCUACCCAACUCUUGAUGAAAAGUCCUCCAAAACUAGGAAGUAAACUGAGUACCCCUAUCUAAGAUAUUGGAAACUAGGACCCCAUGCAACCGAACAAUCUUCCGAAUGAAAAUCUCUGCUAACCGCUCCGAAGAAUAGGUAGUACACACUGGAAUGAAGUGCGCGGACUUGGUCAGCCUAUCCACAAUCACCUAGAUCGAAUCAAACUUCUUCGAGGUACGAGGGAGACCACUCACAAAGCCCAUAGUAAUCCUCUCCCAUUUCCACUCUGGAAUAUCCAUCUGUUGAAGUACACCACCGGGUCUCUGAUCUCAAAUCAAACGUCUUCGAGGUACCAGGGAGAACACUCACAAAAUCCAUAGUAAUCCUCUUCCAUUUCCACUCCGAAAUAUCCAUCCGCGGAAGUACAUCAACGGGCAUCUAAUGCUUAUAUUUGACCUGCUGACAGUUCAGACACCAAGCUACAUCACUCACAAAAUCCUUUUUCAUUCUCCUCCACCAAUAAUGUUGUCUCAAAUCCUGAUACAUCUUUGCAACACCCGGAUGAAUGGAAUACCGCGAGCUAUUGGCCUCCUCUAAUAUUGGGCACGCAAAUCCGGCCCUGUAUCUACAUCACACCAUAAUCACAAAUAGCCACAUCUCUGGCAUCAUCAUGCUGGACCAUGUCUUUCAGGACAAGCAAAUGCGGGUAAUCAUACUGGCACUCUCUAAUGCGGUCAUACAAGAAAGAGCGAGAAACCACACAAGCCAACACCCGACUAGGCUCAGAAAUAUCAAAUAUGACCAUCCGAUUGGCCAAAGCCUGGACAUCAACUGCAAAGGGCCUCUCCCCAACUGGAAUGUACGCCAAACUACCCACACUAACCGCCUUCCAGCUAAAAGCAUUGGCCACUACAUUGGCCUUCCCUGAGUGAUACAAAAUGGUUAUAUCAUAGUCCUUAAGAAACUCAAGCCACCUCCGUUGCCUUAAAUUAAGAUCUUUAUGUUUGUGCUGGACCAUGUCUUUCAGGACAAGCAAAUGCGGGUAAUCAUACUGGCACUCUCUAAUGCGGUCAUACAAGAAAGAGCGAGAAACCACACAAGCCAACACCCGACUAGGCUCAGAAAUAUCAAAUAUGACCAUCCGAUUGGCCAAAGCCUGGACAUCAACUGCAAAGGGCCUCUCCCCAACUGGAAUGUACGCCAAACUGCACGUACUAACUAACUUUCAGCUGAAAGCAUCAGCCACUACAUUGGCCUUCCCCAUGUGAUACAGAAUGGUAAUAUCAUAGUCCUUGAGUAACUCAAGCCACCUCCGCUGCCUCAAAUUAAUAUCCUUCUGCUUGAACAAGUGCUGAAGACUGCGAUGUUUCGUGAACACUUCACAAGAUACGCCAUAUAAAUAGUGCCUCCAAAUAUUCAAGGCAUGAACUAUAGCAGGCAACUCCAAAUCAUGAACAUGGUAGUUCUUCUCAUGAGGCUUCAAUUGACGAGGAGCAUAAGCAAUAACUCUACCAUCCUGCAUCAAUACACAACCGAUCCUAACUCUCGAAGCAUCACAAUACACCGUGUAAGAACCUAAAGCUGAUGGCAAUACUAAAAGCGGAGCUGUGGUCAAAGCUGACUUGAGCUUAUGAAAUCUCUCCUCGCACUCAUCCGACAACACAAAUGGAAUAUUCUUCUGUGUCAACUUCAUCAAAGGCGAAACAAUAGAUUAAAAUUCCUGAACGAACCUGCGAUAAUAACCCGCCAAAUCGAGGAAACUCUGACUCAGUGGCUGAGGACGGUAUAUGCCAACUAUGCACUGCCUCAAUCUUCUUUGGAUCAACCUGAAUACCAUCACUGGACAUCACGUGUCCUAGAAAAGCCACAGAACAAAGCCAGAACUCACACUUGGAGAACUUUGCAUAGAGCUUCUCCUCUCUCAGCCUCUGCAAUACCACCCUCAAAUAUUGUGUGUGCUCCUCUUGGCUACGCGAGUACACCAGGAUAUCAUCAAUAAACAGAAUCACAAAUAAAUCCAUAUACGACCGAAAUAUACACUGUUCAUCAAGUGCAUGAAUGCGGCUGGGGAAUUAGUCAAUCCGAAUGACAUCACUAGGAACUCAUAGUGCCUACAUCUCAUCCUGAAAGUCGUGUUCAUAAUGUCUGAAUCCCUAAUCGUAAACUGGUGCUAGCCUGAUGGGGGAUCGAUCUUUGAGAAUGCCUUCGACCCCUGAAGCUGGUCAAAGAAAUCCUCCAUACAGGGUAGUGGAUAAUUAUUCUUCAUUGUCACCUUGUUCAACUGUCUGUAGUCAAUGCACAUUCUCAUUGUGACAUCCUUCUUCUUUACAAAUAAGACCGGUGCACCCCACAGAGACACGCUCGGGCGAAUAAACCCCUUAUCCAUGAGUUCCUGAAGCUGCUCCUUCAACUCUUUUAACUCAAUUGGUGCCAUACGACAGUGAUGAAUAGAGAUGGGCUGAGUGCCUGGCACCAGAUCAAUACCGAAAUAAAUAUCCCUGUCCGGAGGCAUGCCCGGCAGGUCUGCUGGGAACACACUAGGGAAAUCCCUCAAGACGGGAACCAAAUCAAGACUAGGAGUCUCAGCUCCAACAUCCAAGUACGAUAAAAAACCUUUCCUAACCAUCCGCUUGGCCUUUAAGAAAGAAAUCACCAUGUUGCGCACAUAAUCAGUCAUACCUCGCCACUCGAUCCUCGGAACACCCGGAAUAUCCAACAUAACAGUCUUGGCAUGACCGUCCAGAAUAGCAUGGUACGGAGAUAGCCAAUCCAUACCCAGAAUUAAAUAAAAAUAUACCAUGCCCAAUAAUAACAAGUCAACUUGGGUGUCUAGACCCCCAAUAGUCACCAUACACGAUUGAUAUACAUGAUCCACAAUAAUAGUAUCACCCACCGGGGUAGAUACGUGCACAGGCAAGGCAAGACAACCACGGGUCAUACCCAAAUGAUGUGAAAAAUAUGAAGAUACAUAAUAAUAGUUUUAACAUCUCAUCUUACCCCAACGCCCCCGGGACCUCAACCAAAAAGCACAAACAUGUUCUGUUACCUUAUUUAAACUGGCUCGAACCAUCAAAACACUAUUGUUAACACCAAAAUGAGCACAAUAGGAAGAUACAUUGGAAUAGGUAGAUCCGGGAUCAAAAACAAUAGAGGCAUCCAUGUGGCAGACUGAGAUAAUACUUGUGACAACAGCAUCUGAUGCAAUAGCGUACCUCCUAUCUGGAAGAGCAUAGAAUCAAGCCUGACCACCGCCAGUCCGGGGCAACCUUUGGCUACCUGGCCCCCACCCUUAGCUGACUGAGUGUGUGCCGAUAAAAUAGGAGUAGAAAAUGAGGGUUGAUCCCUCCGCUGAGACUAACUACCACGAAGUCAAGGACAUGUCUCCUCAUGUGACCAAACUCACUGCACUUGUAGCAAUGACCGGGAGCUAGAGAUGGGGACUGAAGGGAACCCCUCACAAUAUAUUAACCCUAGGUUGAAGAGACAGGAGUAUUAAUCUGAGAUGGAAGGGUACUAAGUGAAGACUGGCCCUUCUGAUAACCCUGAUGACCACGGCCUGAAGAAGCCCCAUUGGACUUUGUACGACCUGACUGAAGAGGUCUGAAGGAAUGACCUUUGCUACACUAGAACCGGCCCCUAGAUGGAGCACCACUGAAGCUACCUGAACAUCGAGGAAUUUUGGACUCCCUCUCCUCACGCAUCCGACGACAAUCUGUCUCAAUCUGACGAGCCAUAUCAACUACCUCCUCAAUUGAGGCGGCCACAACCCUCUCUCAAGUCAUCAAAAUGCGGAUAGAAUAGUUGAGGCCAUCCACAAACCUCAUAAUCCUCUCCCCAUCUGUCAGGAUCAUCCAAGUAGCUUGUUGAGAUAGCUGCGUAAACCUCAACUCAUACUGGGUCACAGUCACGUCCCCCUGAAUCAACCACUCAAACUGACGACGCAGCUCCUCUCUGUGAGACUACGGUACAUACUUCUCCAGAAAGAGAGUGGAGAACUGCUUCCAAGUAAGGGGCGCUGCUCCAACAAGCCUACGCCUCUCAAACUCCUGCCACCAUGUAAAUGCAGGCCCUGAGAACUGGAAGGUAGUAAAAGCCAAUCUACUCUACUCCAAAAUCCCAGCAGUGCGAAGCGUAUGCUGAUACUUGUCUAGAAAUCCCUGGGCAUCCUCACCCUUAGUACCACUGAACGUCGGAGGCUAGAGCCUACUGAACCUCUCAAGUCAACGCUGCUCAUCGUCUAGCAUAGCUGGGACCAUAAAAUCUGGAGCUGGAGCGACUGGCGCAACUGGGGCAACUGGUGCAACUAGCUGAGCUGGGGCUGCUCCCGGUAUCUACAAUCGCUGAACACCUUGGGUGUGCGAGCAACGGGCUCCUCCCACCAUGUAAAUGCAUGCCCUGAGAAUUGGGAAGUAGUAAAAGCCACUCCACUCGACUCCAAUAUACCUGCAAGCAUACCCUGACACUUGUCUAGAAAUCCCUAAGGAUCCUCGCCCUCAGUAUCAGUGAAUGUCGGAGGCUGGAGCCUACCGAACCUCUCCAGUCGAUGUUGCUUGUCAUCUAGCAUAGCUAGAACCACAAAGUCUGGAGCUGGUGCGACUGGUGCAACUGGUGCAAUUGCGGGAACUGGUGCAACUGGCUGAUCUAGGGCUACUCCGAGUGUCUGCAAUCCCUGAACACCCUGCUCGGGUGUGCGAGAAGCAGGGGUCUGUUGACCACCCCUGGUCUGAGAAGUAGUUGUUGCAGUAGUGGCUGAGACGGUCUGAGCCAUGCCAAUGCAGAUGGAUAAAAUCUGAGCUAAAGCCUCCUGGAGACCAGGAAUCACAUUGGGCACUAAUAGUGCCAGAACAGGUGCUGUUGGAGCAUCUACAGCUGGAGGCUGGUCCUGAACCUAAAUAGUUGGUGGAUCUACAAGUGCUGCCCUCGCUGGUAUGCCUCGACUACGACCACGACCAUGGCCUCUAGCGGGUAGCAAUGGUGAUCGUCCGUCAUGUCCGGUAGUACGGGUUCUCUCCAUCUGCGAGAUAACAUAGUACAAAGUUUAGGUCUUAGAACAACGAAGCUGCACGAUGAGAGUUCGAGAAUAUGAUGUGUUUCCUAAAGGUUAUGUAUCCUAUCGAGGAUAAAUACAUACAUCUCCGUGCCGAUCCGCGAGACUAUAUUAACCGGCUCAUGACGCAUGACGCCUUGUAAUCUAGGCUCUGAUAUCAACUUGUCAAGACCCCAAUCCCGGUCGUGAUGGCGCCCAACAAUAAUUGCUAGGCAAGCCCGACCAUUGAACACUCUCAACCCAACUACGAAAACCCAUUAAUAAUUAAUAUAGUUAAAUUUUCAGAUAAUAUAGUUUAAAGCAGUGAUAAUAGAUAGAAACAGUACCGAAAACCAUAAGCAAUACCAAUACAACUUCCAACAGAUCCGGUGUCAUGAGUCUAGAGCCUCUAAAUGCACUGAGUAGCAAAUCAAAACAAAUGAGAGUCUUAGAUGCGGAAAACAAAAUGAUAGGGGAGGAAUCGGGUCCUGUGGGCGCCUGGCAGCUACCUCGACAACUCCGCGAUAAAUCUGGGAACAACAACAAUACGACUAAGCUCCUGAUGCUCCUGAAUCUGCACACAUGGUGCAGGGAGUAAAGUUAGUACUUCCAACUCAGUGGUAAUAGACAUAUAUAAUGAUUGAAAGUAAAAAAUCUCAAAAAUACCACAAUGUAAAGCUGAGACUAACAACUUUGCACAUUUAACACUGACAUAAUAGCAAAUAAAUACUGAUAGACAAAUAGAUAUCAAUACAUGAAUGCAAUGCAAUGCACAUGACCGCUGCGGCGUACAACUCGAUCCAUUUUGGGUACCCGCGCUCACUAUGGUGGUUCAGACAUCGGAGGGGCUCCUACAGCCUAAGCGCAAUAUCUUUGUAGCAUUCGCUGCGGUGCACAGCCCGAUCCACAAUCGGUCUAGUUAUAUGCAUGCAAGCCACACUGGCACAGUCAAAUAUACCAUUUUCAAUUCCAAUUAUCAAGAAUAUAGCUUACAUGAUUAAAACCUUAGAAAUUUACUAAUCAUUUCGAGACAGUGUUUAACUCAGGACAGAUAUCAUGAAAACAUGCUCAACAUCAUGGAAACAGUGACAAUAAUCCCUAAGGGAUCCAAAUAAUUAGCACGCAGCCAAAAUAUGCUCAUAACAAUCCAAGUAGGAAGUUUACCAAUCAAUUUCUAGUCAAUAACACAGUAGGAACAUCACUCGGACGGACUAAGCCAUAGUCCCCAUCCACAAACGACCCUGCAUUCACCAUGGAGUAUGUGACUCGCCUCAAUACAUCGUCACAGUGUGAUAUACCGGGGUUUCAAACCCUCAGGUCAUCAUCUAUAUUUAUUAGUCACCUCAAAACGGACGAAGACUAUCCCACAAUGCCCUUCCCUCUCGUAUCGACCUCCCCUCGCGUCGAAUCUGGCCAAAACCACAUCUAAUACGUUACAUAGGCUAAUAGAACACACCCAACCGAAAAGACUCGACAAAUACAAAAAAUCACGAAGUUGGCAAAACCCGAGCCUCAGGCCCACUUCUCAAAAAAUUACAAAAUUUACAUCACCAGACUCAUCGUCUCCCCACGAGUCUAUACAUAUCAAAUUUACCAAAAUCAUAGUUCAAUUGCUCCCUCAAAUCCCAAAUUUUUAUUUCAAAACCCAAGCCCUAGUUCUUCAAUUUUGCACCCAAAUUUCUAAGAAUUAAAUGUUGAUUCUUCAAUAAAAUUGUGUUUCUAGGUCACCAGACUUACCUGCAAUCACUUCCCGUCAAAAACCUCUUCGAAUUCUACCAAAAAUCACUUGAGAUGGUCAACAAUGGAGGAAGACAAUGACUGGGUCACAGAUGAAAUGUUUAAUAAAAAACCCUCUCUGCCGAGCUAUUUCCUUCUAUGUGAACGCGAUACCCCCUCGCGUUUGCGAAGCACAAGAAUUCAUCAGACCAAAUUAACCCUUUGCAAAUGCGGCACUCCACCCACAAACGCGAUACCUGAACAGCUGAUACUAUACGAACGCGAUCUUUCAACGCGAACGCGAUCCUUCAACGCGAACGCGAAGCUCAACGAUCCCCUCUUGCGCGAAUGCGACUUCCACGUCGCGAACGCACUGAACAACCUAGGUAAUGACCUCAAUCCCUUCUACGUGAAUUCGAAGAGACUAACGCAAAUGCGAUGACCCAAGACAUCACCACUACGCAAACGCGAUUACCCCUCUGCGAACGCGAAGCACAAGGGUGGUCUGCAACUGCUACUGCUAUUCUACAAUAAAUUCUAUGUCAAAACUUCUCGUUUAUCCAACCGAAACCACCUCGAGGCCCUCGAGACCUCAACCAAGUACCCCAACAUAUCCCAAAAUAUCAUACAAACUUAUUCCAGUCAUCAAAACACGUCAAACAACACUAAAAUCAUCAAUUCCCCACGGAUUCAAGCCUAAGUUUCAUCACAACUUCUGAAACACACCUUUGAUCAAAAACCUAACCAAACGACGUCCAAAUGACAUAACCGUUUGCGCAUAUAUCCAAAAUCACCUAAUAGAGCUACUGUCACUCUCCAAAUUCCAUUCUCACCCUAGAAUCAAAAUCUCACCAAUCAACCGAAUUCGCAAAAAUUCAAACUUUGCCAAUUCAAGCCUAAUUCUACACCGGACCUCCAAAUAUAAUUUUGAUCGCACUCCUAAGUCAUAAAUAGUCCCUUGAAGCUAACUGAGUAUCAGAAUUAAUAUCCGAGCUCUCUAACUAAAUAGUCAACUUCCAGUUGACUUUUCAAGAAUAAGUUUUCCUUUAAGAGACUAAGUGUCUCAAUUCCAUCUUUCCGAUCAACUCAAAUACUGAUAUUGAAACAUAGAGAAGAAUAAUAUGGAAAAAUAGGGUGGUAACUCACAUGACAACGGGUCGGGUCUUCACAGUAUCUAAGCAUGUAUACCUACCCAUUCACGCUGGGUUCUGCCUAUCCAACUCUGGGUCUUAUAGAUCCGAUUAUCCUUAUUUUUACCAAUCAUACCAAGUGACGCUUGGCCAGAUCUAUCCUUCAUUCCAUCAAAUUAUCAAUUUAAUCAGAUACUACUCGAGCCAGGUCGAGGGGAUUCCCUUUAUCCUCGACCAUCUGAUCAGGUUGUACAGCCCUCGCCUUUAUCGAGGUGUCUUGAUAAAACUACAAUGCCGAUCCUCGAAAUCUUUCUUAUUCAGCAUCAAUAAGGACAAAGACUGAGAAUGGAUGAGUCGGUUUGUCCGAGUGAGGACCUCUGACUUGAUUCCUGCUGAGAGGAUGCGAUUCCCCGAGGAAUGGAACAUGAAACAUAAGUACAGCUUAUUGACAGUGACUUUAUACCCUAUUUUCCCUUAUCUUCCUCGACCUUAUUAUUAUCUUUUUCUAGAAAUGACCCCUUUCUGAUAGUGUACUUAUUUCUUGGUUUUCCGGUGCGGUCCCAGACCUCUAAGGUUGAGUACACAAAUUGGCCUGUGCUUCUUCGUAUGCGGACCACAAGGGCGUGACCUGGUCAAAAGUCGAUGGGAAGCUAAAAACUAUAGUGUGUUCUCUUGUCUGCAUACUUAUGUUUCUCAGUAAAAUACUUACUUUAUUUUUUUGCAGACCUCAGAGACGCCAUAUCUAUGCGGCCGCCCCCAUCCGGUGGUGGAGAGACCUCAAUGCCUUCCAAUGGAAAUAAAAGAAAGUGGGGGUUUCCUGUAAAUUCCCCGAAGCCAAAGAAAGCAAGGCUCGAAAGCCUAAGGCCGAUAAUAUGGUCUUGCAUCCUGAAAUGGCCCAACACCUUCGGGAUGAAAACGAAAAGGGAGAGGACGAUGAAUAUCUUCUGGUAGCUCAGAAGAGAGAAAGAUCUAACCUUCGAAGGCCACUGAACUGAGGGAGGCAGAUGUGGGUCAAUAACGAACUGAAAAUAUUUUGAAGGGGAGUUCGAGCAAAGUCCCCGAGCCAUCAAGUGGAAAAAGUGCACCUUAUUCUAGGGACACUUAGUAGAUGAGCUCAAUGAGCUAACUCCGAGCCCUUUCAAAGACAGGACAAUAUCCCAAGUGAAUCACUUGGGGUAAUCAACAGAGAUGACUUCCCAUAGGGCUAGGUGUUCUCUAAAGGGCAAUCCAAUAUGCCCAGGCCAUUGGGACUCCUUAUGUGGGCACGACCCGUGAGGGGAACGAUAUUUUUCUGGAAUGUCUUAUAGGGAUCGAAAAAUGUCCUGACCUUGAUGCCUCAUUUAUUUUUGAGGAGGUCAAAAUACUUUUAAAGCAAGUAAGUUUUGUCUCCCAUUACUUUGAGUUCAUUUCAUUAUCUUUCUAAAUCUAUCUUCUUUUCCUUGUGAGAAGGCCGUGUCGAUUCCACGACAAGCAUUCGCCAAAUCACGAGCUGAGUUUGCACGAUGUGAAGACGAACUUAAGAAGCUCAUGGAGGAGAGGGAUAUCCUUAAUAUCCUCUAUGUCAAAAAAGAGGGGGAUUUCAGCGAUCUUCUAGUUGAAUUAACGAAGUCUUAUCAAGAGCAAACCGAGAUCAUUGAGAAGGUAAUAUAGCCUUUGAGCGUCUAUUAUGCACUUUCUUGUUUUGGCGACUAAUACUUUGAUUUAGUAGUCGCAGCUGAACGGCAAGCUAAUGGAGCAGCUUUGGGAGGAUCUCAAGACAAAAGAGGUUGAGACCCUCGGUUUGAAGCAACACAUAGACUGUCUUGCCUCCGAGAAAGAUGUACUUUCAGGAAUCGCUGGCUUCAAUCGAACGCCAACUCCAUGAUGCAAAGGAGAAAUGCUUUGCCCAGAGUCGUAUAGUCAAGGAGCUCGAAGAUAGAUCUACUGCUGAGUUACCAAAGGCCAGAUCUGAUGCAGAGGUAUUUUUGUUUGAAUAUAGGGCUGAUGCUGAAGCCGCUAACGCCCAGGCAAAUGAGAUCUCUGUUGCGAUCGAAGUUAUGCUAUCUUGUGAACUCGAUCACGCCAGGCGACAGUCCUGGAGGGAAACCUUAUAUUUCGGUAUUGAUUGAUAUGAUUUGAAAGCUCGACUUAUCCGGUAAUGUGUUUUGGGACGUGUUGGUAAAAUUGGUUGAGGUCCCGAGGGUCUCGCGUGGGAUUCGGAUAGUGAUUAGAUCGAGUUUGGACUUGGAAAAAAAGGUUAGCCAACCUGCCUUCUAGUGUAACAGCACCUUUUGGGCCGCAGGUGCGGAGAAAAGAGGUUGCAAGGUAGGAGCAUACUAGAAAGGGGAGGCCAGUGAUCGCAUGUGCGAGAAGGCUUGAGAAUGUGAGGUUUCUUUAAAACGGGGCUUGCCCAUUUUUCUUCCAUUCUCUCUUGGUUGGAUGAAUUUUUGUGAGCUUCAAGUGGGAAUUUUCAUCAUUCAAGUCAAGGUAGGCUAUCCCCACCUCAUUAUAAGUUAAAUACAUAUGUUUAUUGUGGAUUCAAGCAUGAAAAUUAGUAGAAAUUUGGAAUUUUGAAGAAAAAUACAAGAAAUUGGUAUUCUUGAAUUUGAACACAAUUUUUGGACAUGGAAAUGAGAAUAAAUUAUAUAUUUGAGUUCGUAAGGUUAUUGAAAAAGUUUAUCUUCAAAAAAUUUCAGAAUACGGGUAUGUGUACCCGAGGGUGAUUUUAUCAACUUUUCCAGCAUAGUUGGGAAUUGUUGUAAAUUGAAUUGUUAUGAGUAAUAGAGUAUAUUUUUAUUGGUUUGCACAUUGUUUGGAUAGUUAUGGACCGUUAUGCAUCGGUUUGAAGUGCUAGAGUUGCGUUGGAGUCGGUUAUGGAACUUUGGAGCGAGACAAGUCUCCUUUCUAACCUUAUAAGAGGGAAUUAACCCUAUAGGUGAACUAAAUUAUUAUCUGCUUCUAUUUAUGGGAGCUACGUAUGCACGAGAUGAUGAGAGUUUGUAUGUAGCUACUAGCUAUGCCUAUGUUCGGAUAGUUUUAGGCUUACAUCAUGUCUUGUUAUGUUGUUGUUAACUUAUGUUUAUUAUUUGUCUUGAGAAGAAGAGAGAUUGGGUUAGCUUAUUAAAUGUUUUGAAAGGAGUUGAAAUUGAGGAAAAGUUAGGAACUUAAAAAUUUUCAUUUAAAAUUCAUAAUUUUAAAAAAAAUUGAGGAAUACUUUAAUACCUUAGGAAAUUUAUUCGUAACCGCGUGGCAUGUAUGUUUCGCGAAUAGGGUAAUUUACUUAAAAAGCUACAAGUUGAGUUUCCCUUAUUUUGAAAAGAAUCAAUAAAGAGAUAUGAUUGAAUGUUAAAUUUAUAUUUGACUGGGUUAGAGGUAGGAUUUGCGAGCAGGGAUUCCUUAUAAUUAUUUUUAAUCGCAUCACACUUAUGAUUCGCAAGCAGGGUACUUCCUUCUACUACUCUUAUGGGAUCGGGCCGCUCGCGUAGGCAAGAUUUAUGUACCACACUUUAAUUUAGUGGGUCGUUCCCUUGGCAGGUUAAUUGAUGCAUCUAUGGUUCGCCUCGUUCGAUCCUCGGCAAUGCAUAAUUUACGUUUAUUGUUGAUCGGGCCAUAAGCCUUGGUAUUUCUGGAAUCGUGUGUAACAUUUGGCUAGAAGUCAGUGUAUCUGAGAGUUUUUCUCCUGAUUCGAAUUAUGACAACCUUUUGAUGAUAUCCACUAUAUCUUUACAUAUAUUCUCCGGUAAUGGAGGGAACUUUCUAGUUAGGAGUUUGAGUAAAAUUGUAAAUAUGGGAAUUAUACCACGUGUCAUUGGACGACUAGUAAGUAUCGAAGUCAACCUCUCGUCACUACUCUUCGAGGUUAGACUGGAUACUUACUAGGUACGCAUUAUUUCCGUACUCAUAAUACACUUAUUGUGCAUUUUUAUUUCACAUGCACCUAUAUGACUAGUGGCCAAAUGAACACAACGGCAUGCCAAUAAGGAGACUUAGAUGAGAUGGAUCUCUCGAGAUGACCCACAGCCAGUAAAGGUUCCUUCAAAGUAUUGUAUUUCUUUUCUAUCAAAUUUAGAUUCCAAAAACUUAUUGUAUUUUAUUUUAUUUACUAGUAAUUUCUCAUGCACUUGAGAUACCAGGUUCUUGGGCGAUUAUGGGAUAUUCUGUGUUCAAAAUCGAAAAAUAUUAUUAUUUACUUUAUAAAUUUCAUCUGUUACUAGUAAAAUUGAAGAAAACUUCAUGACUUCAAAAAUAAAUAAAAGAGAAUUUAGUUAAAUGUUUAGUGUUGGAUAACCUGACAGUCGUGUAUGGCGUCAUCAUGUUCUUUAACUAAUAUUGUGUCAUGAAAAUAUAGUAUCAGAGCACUACGUUCACUUAGGUGUCACGAGUCAUGAAGAAGUCUUGUACAGUCUUGCAGAUCGAUACGGAGACAUCUAUACUUAUCUUCGGGACAAUAGGGUUGUUAGGAGCACUUCCCUUCUUGAUUACCCAUCGUGCAGUUUGAUUACUUUGAGUCUUAUGCCUUUGUUUCUUUCCUACUCAAUCCUAUGUGAUGUGAAACGCUUACUAUCAAACGAAUUGAGGAAUCGUAAUGGUACUACAGUUGCGGUGCUGGAUGUUCCCCCCUCUGUAGUUUAUUGGGAUAUCAUCAUCACCUUAAGGAUGGAUAUUUCAUCAUAUUAGCUUAUCGAUUGUACUUAUAAGAGCUUCGUGGCUACACACACGUCGCUAUGUUGCUCAUGAUUUGUUAUCGUACAUUAUUGAGGUGAUGGUGAGAUGCUUGUGUAAGGCCCCGAAAAAUAUUUCUAGGUAAUUUGAGAUUUGUCGUGCCAAUGUCAGCUAAUUAUUUCAUUUUGUGUGAAAAUGAGGAUUCAUGAUAUAAUGGGUAUCAAUUGGAUAUGUUAAUAAGCAUAUAAUUAAUACUAGAGGCAAAUUGGGGUCUAAAGAGAGGCCUAAGUCUAAGCCAAGUUUGAACAUUUCAUAUUAAACGAAAUCUGUAAAUGAGUGCCCACAAGACCUGACUUUGGACAAUCAUAUCUUCAGUUAUAUAAGGAUUUGUCUGAUGCGCAACCUAUGAAAUUAAAGUACUUUGAGUCUAGUUUCCAAUGCAACAAACCGUUUGUCAUUUGGAAGUGCAUACAGAACAUUAUGACCAUUUUACCAAACAUACGUCACCAGCGCGCCUAGGCGCGCGGCCGUAGGGUGGACCGCGAGGCAUACUGCCUGGAACCGUGUGGUUGACCACGGUGGAACGCCGGGACCGUGGGGAAAACAUGUGAAAUGUCUAAAAUACCCCUGGUCAGUGUAACAACCAAAGGGGAUACCACCUUUCCUUCAUUUUUUUCAUUCAAGCUCGAAUUUGGCAAGAUUUCUUCAUCCUCCCAAGACCUCCAACCCCUCCCAUCAUCAAGGUAAGUAAUACUUAUGAUCUUGGUGUGAAAUUACAUCAUUUAUACACUAAUAUGGACGAAAUCUUCAUAUGAACAUAUAUAUUUUUCAAGAAAUUCCUUCAAGAACCCAAAAAAAGAUUUUGCAAUAUUUCUUCCAAAAAGGUAAAUCCUACACCUUAGACUUACAUAUAUGGAGUUAUUAUGAAAAUAUGAGUAUGGAUUAAGUAUUUUAAUAACUCAUGGGAUAGUGAUUGGAAGACAUAGGUGCCUAACUGUGAUUGUGUUGGUAUUGUAGAGAUUGUGAGAUGGGUUGUUGAGGUAUGAUUCUUGGGGUAAUAGUAUUAUGUAUUCAUGCAUGUGCAAAUUAGGUUUGUGGGAAAAUUGAUUUAUAUAAAUAAAUAAAUAUGGGGUUGGCGAAUGAAGGAAGUCUUGUAAAAGAGAUUAAAAAUCAAGAUGCUCAACUAGUAUGUGACAAAGUGCUCAAAUACGCUUAAACCAUGAAUACCUUCCUAAAUUGUGUUCAAUUUCUGUUAUGUUUCAAGUAGAUUGGGAUUGCUAGAAUUUCUGAAACAUCAUAUUAACAAAAGGAAAUCCUAAACGAGGUAUAUAUGGCUAAAAACCCCUUUUAUUAGAAAUUGAGCUCUGUUGGUGUUUACGAAAGUAUGGUAAGAUUGGAUUGGUUAAUGUAUUGAUUGUUGUUGCUCAUUAAUUAACCUGCAAUUAUAUACACAAAUAAAUAAAGGAUGUACCUCAAUAGGUUUAAUGUACUAUUCUUGAUAAUUAGAGAAGGAUGAAAAAUACAAUUAUGUGUUGAAAUGCCUGGGCUAUAAGCCAAUAUCAAAACGGAGAAUUAUGCAUGCUAGCUAUGUGUUCACUUACCUUGAUUGCAAGUUGAAUUGUUUUUGUAUAUGCCUAAGAUCACAACUUGCAAGAUGAGUAUUGACAAUAGAAAAUAAUGUGAUAAUGGUGGCCCUAAGUGCCAAGGAAUAUAUAUGAGGUAUGUGAAAUAAAGAUUUCGAUGUGCUGACUAAUGAGAAAGGAAUAAUGCCUAGGCAAGGCGACCUAGUCGAUCAGGUUGUAAUCAGACACCAUGUUGCACGCAUGGUGGAAAUGUGAUGAUAUUGAAUUUAAAAUAAGAGGAAUAAAAUUUUAAUGAGAUAUAUGCCUCCAAUGAGGUGACCUAGCCAGUCGGGUCGUGAUCGGACUCCACUCAAGGCAAUGGUGGUAUUGAGACCAAUGAUGAACAUAUGAAAGAAAUUCCCCAAACUAAGUUUUGGAAAUUAUAUGAAGAUUAUGUGAUUUGCACACUUGAUUUACUCAUGCGAUUUACUUGUACUUGUUUGACUGUUCUUUCUAGUAAAAUGGUGUUUAGUUAUACAUACUAGUACUACUCCAUGGUACUAAGGUCCCUUUUGCUGGGGGUGCUACAUUUUUAAAUGAAUGUAGAUGGCUCCAUAGCAGAUAGUGCCGAUUGUGUGUAGCAGAGCAUCCUUCUUCACAGAGUCUUGGUGAGCCCCUUUCUCCUUCAAGGUGUUAUAUUGUGCAUCUUCUUAUUUUGGACUUUCACUUUUGAGGUAUAGCUGGGGCCUUUUUGCCGGCGUUGUUAUCACUGUCUUUUGUAUCCUUAGAGGCUCCAUAGACGUUUGUGUGGGUUAUGUUUGGGUAUUGGAUAGGUCAAUGGACCAUGUUGUAACUUUGUACUCUUGCUUUUUCUAAACUAUAACUUGUAUGGAACCUUGGAAGUUUAACCACAUUUUAUUGUUAUGAUAUAAAGUGAACUAAGAUACUGAAUGUACUAUUGUUCCUAUUUUAAAUAAAGGUAAGCAUGGCUUCCUUAUUCCUAUUGAGUUGGGUAGGUAGUGGUCGAUAAGGCUUGCUCAGUUGGGUUCACUUGAUUGAGCGCCGGUCGUGCCUCCCGAAGUUGGGGUAUUACAUUUUGCCUAUGUGUCAAGGCAGUGAAUGACUUGAGAUGAGGUUUGCUUAGUGCAUGUUUCAGAGAUUCAGUAUUUUAAUUCUGUUCAAGGAAAAAGCAAUCGGACUAUGAAUGUUCAAGUUUGGGUUGACGAAGAGCUAGACUUGGUACUUUCAAGGGUGUGAUGCAAUGUCAUUGACCUUGUUGAAUACGUUAAGUUUGCCAAUGUUAUAGUUUUCUUCAACUCGCCUUUAGGGAAUGGUAGUGUGAAAAAUUGCCAGAGAAGUGUAUAUCAAAGGUCAAUGUGUCAUGCGGUGGUUAGACUUCUAGAAGGCCAAGUGUGAGAAAUAGGAGUCGAGUAGGUGCUUAAAGGAGUCAAAUUGACCAAAGCGGGAGAAUGGCAAAGUAGCAUAUGGGUUCUGUUGCACGAUGAGUACAUGCCUUGAUAAGAGUUUAGAGCUAUUUAGGAUUCAUGGUGGACAAUGGUUUGGUCUACGGACUUAAUUUAGUAUAUUGGCUAUUAUUCAGGAGAAGUCGAAUACGACAUAAAAGAGUGCUUGAUAUGAAGAAGAGUACAACAUAACUUUGGAUUGAGGUGUAUUGUCGCACCUUUUAGUUGAUGUCCAUGAUAAGUGAAUGGACUCGUACAACUAGAAAUUGAGCAUGGGCUCAGGAUGGUUACUGAUUUUGUAUCAACUGUUCCUAGUUCAGCGACAAAUGAAAAAUCUUGGUCGGUUCCAUGUUUAUGCAAUGGUAGCUUCAAGAUAAGUGGGAGGGUCCUACAGCCUAAGAUUGGAUUUUAUAGUUAUCUACUUGUGAGAUCUCUGGUGAUCGGCAUAUUGAUGGGUUAUUAUGACUAAAGAAACAGAACAUUAGUAGUGAUUUGAGCAAAGGAUUUGAGAAAUGUGUGCUAUAAUUGGCCUUAUUAAUUCAUGUUGAGAAUUUGGUAAGACUCGAGAUGAAUGCUACAUAUAGAGGUAAUCUGUAGGGAAAAUGAUCUAGUGGGAUGCCUCUUUGAGAGGGUGUUCAUGUGCUAGCGAAACCUUGGGAGUUUGAUUAUAUUUGGUACUAAGCAGUGGGUGACUCACACAAUAGUCCUAGUGGAUUCAAAAGUUAAAGUGUGGUGCCUAAGGAUUUUGAGUCCAUAGUAUGGUUGAGUAUCGAGCUUUUGUAGUAGAUUAUGAUAAAGGAGAUUGGAGUGUUUAGUGUUAUCUUUUGUCUACGGUAUUAAAUUUUGGGUGCAAAUGAUUUCGAAUUCAUAGAGGAAUUUCAGAAUGGAUGUACCCGUUUAAGACGUGAUUGUGCGCACAAGGAGAAUAUGAAAUGGUUAAUGGGUUAGAGACAAUGUGGCCGUAUGAAAUGGGGUCGCUCAAGACAAGUGCAGAUUAAGUUCACUAUGUUUUGAAUGGAGCUAUUAUUAUUCCUAAGGCAAGUCAAGGGUAAAUUAAAAUAAGUUGGAUUGGUUAGAAAUGGUUGAAUUGGCAUGAUGAUGGCAAUGAUCAGCUUAUUCAGUAUGUUGAGUUACUCGUGUGGUUUGUGACGGUACGUCCGAGGUUUUAUAGUCACCAUAAUUGAUUUUAUUUUGAGGAUUUCGGUAUUAUUGCAUGUUACGUGAAAAUGGGUUCCGGAAGAGUUGUGGUUUUUUAGACCACUAUUUGAGGUUGGUGUUUUCUACGGAUAUGAGGAAUCAAUCAUGAGUUUCAAUGGUUCUCUUAGAAAGAGUUAAGUAAAAGGUUCCUUUAUGAUGAAGUGUCUAUCCUAUUGGUGGUUCAGGAGUUUUGAUGAAAUAUUUGUACUAUUAUGUAUUGGCAUGAUUAGGUGCAGUGGGUAGCAUGGGAAUUGGAAGUUGAGGAUCAAGGUUGUUGUUUGGUGUUGGAAAGAAUAUCACGAGCUCGGAGGAGCAGGGAUAAAGGGUUCAAAUGGUUAGACCAAGCUGGUAUUAUUUUCAACAUCAAUUGAGAUCGGCGUAUUGUGUAAAAGGCUCUGCCUACUGGUUGUGGAUUCUUGAAUUGUUUUACGACAUUAGUGCGUCUGGUGGUACAGAUGUGUAGAUUAUUACCUGGCGCGGAAGGUCGUGGGGCGUACCCCACGGGAAGAUUGUAUUAGAGUGACAUGUAUUCACUUGAUUGAUUGAAGAUUGAAACCAAGUAAGAAGAUUGCGGUAAUAUUACUAAUCUAAUAAUUUAUCCCUAGAGGGCCCUCAGUCCAUUUGGAUGUGGACUGUGGAAGUUUUUCCCAGUUACGACGGUUGCUCUUGUGUAUAAUAACAAAAAGGGUUACGGUGAAUCCUUGAAAGAUUAUUAGCCUAGUGCGGUACAAUCAGAAUUGGCUUGAGGUCCGUAAAUGCAUCUAAAUAUGAUUGUAGAUCAUGUCGGAUGUAUUUAUUUCAGCAUAGCGUUCCUUAUGGAGGAGUACUAGUGCUUUAGGUGUUACUUCAUUGUCUGUUAAUUAAGGUGAUACUGUAAUGUGUCAUGUGGGUUAUGAAACGGCUGAAUUUAUUGUAUGUGUUGAGGUUCCGCGUACCGAUUGUGUUAUGUAAGAAUAAUGACUCUCGAAAUAUAGUUCAUUUAUUGCACCUUAUUCGUGUUUGAGUUUCGUAGUUUAUGGGACUAUAUGUAUCCCCAGGGUUUGUAUUAUGCACUUCGCGUGCCAGUAGUUGAUAUUCGUUUUUUCACAGGUAUGAGCAUUUUAGCUCAGUAAGUAUUUCCCUAGUAGAUUGUGAUGUUUUGUUCGGGUGACACGCCUCCACGGGUAUCAUGUGUGGAUCCGGUUACAUGCUAUAAUAGUGUGAUGUUGAGUACAGUCCCCUAUAUUUAUUUUGGUGCAUUUUGUUUCCCAUUUUACGAGGAAGGUUCAUGACACCUUUUCGGUUGUCUAAUUAGUUACGUGGGUGGAGUAGUUCCUUCCAUAGUUCGUUUUCCUUAUGUAUCACAUUUGAGUUGUUGAUUAUUGGCACGUUGUGGACUCAUAUAAGAAUUUUAGUAGUGUCUGAGGUGUUUUAUUUUGUGGGCAUCUUAUACUGGAUGGGACAAGAUUAUGGUACCUGGUAUCAGUGUGGUCAGAUUUGUAUGAACUAUAGUAAAGAGAAAAUAUAGUUAUUUGGUUCAUAAUGAGAUAAUGGUUCUUGUCAGGAGGAGAGGCUCAAUGAAUUAUUGACUUGGCAGUCGGUUAUGAAUUUCUUUGCAUCUCUUUCGUCAUGGCAGUAUUGCAGUAGUUGGAACGGGACAUAUAUACGUCAGGAAAUGCAUUGGGAGCAUCAUAUUCGUGAAAUUUCGUCUAUUAUUAUCAGAGGAUUUUAUUUUGGUUAUGUGAGUUAUGAAGUGCCUAGUAUGGAUUCAGAAAAGGUAUGUUAAUCAUGUAUCAGUGUAUCGUGUGUUGAUUGAUACGGUGUUCAUAUGAUGGAAAUAGGCCUGGAAGAGAAUUUCGGGUGUUGGAAUUGUGCUCUGAUGCUUACUCACAUAAAUAAAAGAGGAUAUCUUCAUAUUUGCUCCAGCUAAUAAGCUCAAAUGAGUUGUAGUGUAAUGGGUAGGAGCACGAAGUGUUAAGGAGCGAUUUCACACAACUCCAAUGCAGUUCUUAGCACGUUCAAGGCAAAAUGUAUGUUUAACCGAGAGAGACUGUAACGACUCGACUAAUCAUUUUGUGCUCUUGCAGGUCGUUCAGCGGUUUGAGGCUAUGAGCAACUUCACUUAAGGUAUUAUGAAUUGCAUGUGUGGUCAUAAUUGAAUUUUAGGAAGUUCAGAGUUGAUUUGGAAAGAAAAUUCUCAUUUCGGAAGCUUUAAGUUGGAAGAAUUGACUAAAGUGUGAUUUUUAAGUAAACGACAUCAAAAUCGGGAUAUGAUGGUUCCAACGGGUUCAUAUGGUGAUUUUGGACUUGAGCAUAUGUUCAGUAUCGGGUUUUGACUGACUUGGGAGCUUGUCGGCGCCUAUUGUGGAAGUUGGCAUUUGGAAGAAUUUCAUAAAUUUAGGUUAAGGUGUAUCUCAAUGUUAUAAAUGUUCCUCAGAUUUAGAGUCUAGGAAUAGCUUUGUAUGGGGAUUUUACUAUAGGAAACCCAUCCUGAACUGAAUUUUGAGAUCUGUACGUCAUCUUUGGGUCAUCUGCUGAAAUUUAUAAAUUUGAAGGUUUUUGAAAUGUUUGACCGAGAGUGUACUUUUUUAUAUGGAGGCCGGAUUUCAAUUCUGGCAGUUGGAGUAGGUUCAUAAUGUCGAAUAUGACCUGUGUGCAAAAUUUGAGGUCAAUGGGACAUGAUUUGGUAGGUUUCGGCAUUGAAUGUAGAAGUUUAAAGUUCUAAAGUCAUAAAGCUUGAAUUGAGUUGCGAUAUGUAAUUUCUAUAUUGUUUGAUGUGAUUUGAUGGCACAGCUAAGUUUGUAAUGUAUUUUGGGACAUGUUGGUAAAAUUGGUUGAGGUCCUUAAGGCCUCGAGUGAGAUUCGGACGGUGAACAUAUCGAGUUUGGACUUGGAAGAAAGCUUAGAGAAGGUUCCUUUUGGUGUAACCGUAUCUGCGAGUUUUGGACCGCACGAGCGGGGCCGCAUAGCAGCCACAGGGCCGUAGAAGAGGACAGGAAAAUGGGGGCCAGUGACCGCAAAAGUGGACCAGAGAUCACACCUGCGAAGGCGCAGGGUACGAAGGAAGCCAUCGCAGAAGUGGCACGAGCGCCACAAAAGUGGCCUAUGCAUUGCAGAAGCGGCCUAUGCUGGAGGCAGUGAGGUUUCUUUAAAAUGGAGGUUUGGCCAUUUCUCUUCCAUUCUCUCUUGGCUAGACGAUUUUUGGAGAGCUUCAGGUGGGGAUUUUCAUAAUUCAAAUCAAGCUAAGUUAUUCACACCGCAUUAUAAGUUAAAUAUAUGGUUUUAUUAUGGACUCAAGCAUGAAAUUAGGUAAAAAUUUGGGAUUUUAAAGAAAAAGCCGAGAAAUUGGUAUUCUUGGAUUUUGACUACGAUUUAGGUAUGUAAUUGAGAAUAAACUAUAUAUUUGAGUUGAUAAGGUUAUGGGUGAUGUUUAUCUUUGAAAAUUUUAAAAUUUAUGUACGUGGGCCCGAGGUUGACUUUAUCGACUUUCCGAGCAUAAUUAGGAAAUGUUGUAAAUUGAAUUGUUAUGAGUAGUAGAGAAUACUUUUAUUUGUUUGCACAUUGUUUAGCAAGUUUUGGAGCGUUGGACAUCGGUUUUAGGUGAUAGAGUGGCAUAUGAGUCUGUUAUGGAACUUCGGAGCAAGGCAAGUUUUCUUUCUAACAUUGUAAGAGGGAAUUAACCCCAUAGGUGAACAAAAUUAUUAUGUACUUCGAUUUGUGAGGGCCAUGUAUGCAAAAGGUGUGGAGAGUCUGUACGUAGCUACUAGCUAUGCCUAUAUCCAGGUAGUUUUAGGCUUACAUCAUGCUUUGUUGAUACUGAUGUUAAUUUAUGUUUAUUAUUUAUCUUGAGAAGAAGAGAGAUUGAGUUAGCGUCUUAAAUGUUUUGAAAGGAGUUCAAAUUGAGGAAAAGUUGGUAACUUAAAAUUUUUCCUUUAAAAUUCAUAAUUUAAAAAAAAACCUGAGGAAUACUUUAAUAACUUAAGAAAUCUUUGUGUAACUGUGUCGCAUGUAUGUUUUGCAAGCAGGGUAAUUUCCUUAAAAAGCUACAUGUUGCAUUUUCCUUACUUCGAAAAUAAUCAAGAAAUAAAUAUGAUUUUAAUGUUAAAUGUUUAUUUGCACACGUCACAAAUAUGAUCUGAGAGCGGCUAUUUCUUAAAUUUAUAUUUGACUGGGUCGCACGUACGAUUCACGAGCAGGGUAUUUUAAUCUAAUACUCUUAUGGGAUCAGGACGUCCGCCAUGGCAGGAUUUAUGUACCACAAUCUCAUGGGAGCGGGCCGUUCGCCUUAACAGGUUAAUAGAUCCAUCUUGGUUUGCAUCGAUCGACCCUCGGUAGUGUACAAUUUACUUUUAUGUUGGAUAGAGCCGUACGCUUCGGCAUUUCCUAUAUAUAUAUAUAUUUAUAUACACACACACACACACACACUUAUUAUUCUCCUGGAAUCGUACAUAAUCUUUGGGUAGAAGCCAGUGUAUCUGAGGAUUUUUCUCCUGAUUUGAAUUAUGACAAUCUCUUGAUGAUAUCCUCUAUACCUCUAUAUAUUUGCUCCGGUUAUAGAGGAAAGUUGCUAGUUCUGAUCUUGAGUAAAAAUAUAAAGAGAGGAAUUGUACCACGUAUUUUAUACAUGUUUAUUUCAUAUAUUUACUCUGCUUCAUUCUUGUUCACUUAUUUACUAUAUCUGAUAUCAUUGGACCACUAGUAAGAGUCAAAAUCGACCUCUCGUCACUACUUCUUUGAGGUUAGACUGGAUACUUAAUGGGUACCCGUUGUUUUCGUAUUUGUGUGAAUUUUUGUUGCACAGGCACCUGCAUGACUACUGAUCUAGUGGGUGCAGCGGCAUGGCCGAUACAGAGACUUAGGUAAGUUCCAUCUCUCGAGAAGACCAACAGCCAACAGAGUCUCCUUUAGAGUAUUGUAUUUACUUGUGUCCAAAUUUAUAAUCCAGAAAGUUAUUGUAUUUUAUUUUUUUCCUAGUGAUUGCGCAUGCAUUUGUGACACCGGGUUCUGGGCUGAAUAUGGGAUAUUUAGUGUUGAAAAUUGGAUAAUAUUAUUAUUUAGUUUAUAAAGUUCAUAUGUUACUAGUGGAAUUGAAGAAAACUUCACGAUUUCAACAAUAAAUAUAACAGAGUUUGAUUAAAUAUUUGGGUCCCGCGCCAUCAAUACCUUUAUCGGAUUUUGGGUCGUGACACCAUUCCUCGUUCUUUGACGUUUUAGGGCAUAAAACAUAAAUUUUUCCCCCAACUCUCAGAUUUUGAGUAUUGUACACCUCGCCAUCUAUAUGGGCCUUGGGAAUCGGAAUCAAAUUGCAUAUAUUUUGUCGGCCCAUAAAAAAUACCUAAUGAACAAUAUUCAUCGCCUCGCCGUGAUUGUUCCUCAUUUUUUGGGUACCCGCGCUCACUGUGGGGGUGCAGACUCCGGAGAGACUCCUACAGCCCAAGCGCUACAUCGUCACAAGGCAUGAAAGCCUAUACAUAUUAACAUGAGGCCUGAAAUCCUGUACAUAUCAAAAUGAGGCCUGAAAUCCUUUUCACAAUACACUCGAGCCCUGAAAGCCUCCUCACAUAUCACUAGAGGCCUAAAAGCCUCCUCAUAUCACUCAGCAUAUCCUCACAUAUACCCCUCGACCUCGACCAGUCCAGAAAAUAAUCAUAAGCCCCUUGGGCAACAGUAAAACAAUAGUGCUCAGCUCAAACAUCAGUUCAGAUAUCAUUUAAAUCUCAAGCUGAGUAAAAGUAUAGCUGAGUUCAUGAAAUAGUGUAAUUUAAUUGGAGUGAGUUCAAGUAAUAUUUAAAAUAGCGAGGAAACAGUGAUGAAAGUUCAAAAAGGAUUGUAAAUAGUCGACAAUAAGCCCCAAUUAUGGCAAUAAGCCCAAGUUAUAGUGAAACAAAACAAGUCUUAGUCAAUUACGCGGGAAAAUAUCAACCGGAACAGAACACGUCACAAUCCCCAAUUGCAAAUGACCCCGCACUCGUCAUUUAGCACGUGUCUCACCUCAAUAUAUCACUACGAUGUACAAUACGGGGUUUCAAACUCUCAAGAUUUCAUUAACAAGCAUUACUCACCUCGAACCGGUGAAAUUUCUAGCUUGCGAUGCCCUUACCCCUCUAAUCAGCCUCCACGUGUGUCGAAUCUAACUAAAUUAGAGCGAAUACAUCACAAUAUGCUAAGGGAACAAUACCUUGAAAACAAUCGAAAAAUAUCAAGAAUCUCGAAAUUAGAAAAACCCAAGCCCCAGGCCCACUUCUCGAAUAUUAGAAAAUUCAACAUCAAUGGAUUCCUCAUAUUCACACGAGUUCAAACAUACCAAGAACUCUCAAAUCGGAGCUCAAAUGAUCCAUCAAAUCCCAAUUUGAAAUAUCAAAAACUUAAGCCCUAGAUCAUCAGUUUUUGGCUCAAUUUCCAUGAUAUUUCUAGGUUAAUUCUCAUAAUAAUCAUGUUUUUAACUCGUAAAACCAACCUCUAGUCAGUCCUAGUCGAUACCCACUGCAUUUUUUUCUAAAAAGCUCUCAAGAUGUUCAAUAAAGGAGGAAAAUAACUUAGGCUCGCGGAUGAAAUAUUCAAUAAAAACCCUUCUGCCCAGGUCAUUUUACUCUGUGUGAACGCGGUCAAAUCCUCGCGUCCGUGAUGAACAAAGACCCAUUGACCAAAAUUAACCCUUCGCGAAUGCGGUGCCAAACCCACAAACGUGAACCUUCUGGAACCUCAACUACGCGAACGCGUCCCCAUGGCCGCGAACGCGAUGCUCACUUCCAAGACCCUCCGCAAAUGGAAUGACAGAGUCGUCGAACGCGAUGAACGAAUAUUCAAGGGCCCAACUUCCUUCUACACGAACAUGUGAUCCUCACCACGAAUGUGAAGAUUUAGGAUUUACCUCUCCGCGAACGUGGGACUGCCUUCGCGAUCGGGAAGGCUUAUUCAUACCUGCACUGCUUCUGCAUUUUUCUGAUGCGUCACCAAGUUUAAAACUCUCCGCUAAGCCAUCCGAGUUCAUCCCGAGGCCCCUGGGACCUAACACAAAAGCGCCAACAUAUCUUAAAACAUCAUCCAAACUUUCUCCAAUCAUCAAAACGUAUCAACUAACACUAAAAUCAUCAAUUCACAUCGGAUUCAAGCCUAUGUUCUUCCAAAACUUGUAAAACACCCACUCGAUCAAAAAUCCAACCAAAUCACCUUCGAAUCAUCUAAACUUUUUCACACACAUUCCAGAUCGUCUAACGGAGCUAAUGCAACUCUUAGAAUUCCAUUCCGACCCUCGGAUCAAAAUCUCACCUAUCAACCGGAUAUCGCCGAAAUGCUAACUUUGCCAUUUCAAGCUUCUACACUGGACCUCCAAAAUCACUUCUGAUCACGCUUCCAAGUCACAAAUCAUCCCCGAAGCUAACCGACUCACCGAAAAUCAUAUCUGAGCCUUCUAACUCAUAAGUCAAAUAUCCGUUUGACUUUUUCCAAACCAAACCUUCGUUAAAGAGACUAAGUGUCUCAUUUCCAACCUAAACCAAUCCAAUUCAACUCUAACACACCAAACGCCAAUAAUAAAAUGUCAAGAAGCAUAAAAAUAGGGGAAACGAGAUGGUAACUCAUGAAACUAUGGGUCGGGUCGUCGAAGGUACACUAUUCAUCUCCCCUUUAAUAUUCACAUACAUUUUAUUAUAUAAUAUUUUAAUUUAUCUCUUUAUAUAUACCUAAUUAUGUUUAUAUAAUGUCUUUCUAAUAUUAAUUUUACAUCUCUAACGACCCAGUCGUUCAUUCUGAGAUUUUAAGCCCCAUUUUCCUCAUAUAUGCUUGUUUAAGUGUUGUUAAGUUGUGUUAAGUUUUAUCGAGUUGGUACGUUUUGGUUCAGAGUAGUUUUGGAGUCAAAUGAAUACUUAGUCUCUUAGUUAGAAAGCUAAGUUGGAAAAGUCAACCGAAAGUUGACUUAUGAGUCGACGAAUUCAGAUUCUGAUUUUGUGGAUUCAAUUAGCUUUGUUAGGUGAUUUUAGGCUUAGAAGUGUGUCUGUAAUGCAAUUUGGUGACCCAUGAUAGAAUUAGGCUUGAAUUGGCGAAAGUUGGAAGUUUAGAAGUACUUAGGCUUGAAUUCGAGGUUGAUUUGGUAUUUUGGUGUUGUUUUAGAUGUUUCAGAGGUUAGACAAAGUUCGGGUAGUCAUAUAUGACUUGUUGAAAUUAUUGGUUGCGGUCUCGAGGGCCUCGAUGAGUUUCGGAGAGGUUUGGGUUGUGUUGCGCUCAUUUUUCUAAUGUUUCGAUGUCGUUUCUUCAAGCAUAAAUGAUAUUAAAUUGAACAAAGGAGCUUUGAUUUCCUUUUUAACUUAAGAAUUAGAUCUGUAUCGUAAUUACGGACUUGUAUCAAAAAGAAUCAUCAAAUUUGGAUAUCAUAUGCAGAUUUUAUGAUCAUUUUGCUAAGAAUUAGGUUGCCUAUUUUUUUAGUAUUAAUAACAGAAUUGCCACUGAUAGCGUAAUUAAAAAUUUGUACUAUUUGCAAAUAUUAAAACUUACAUAUCUCAUUUGUUAUAAGGUCAAAUUGACUGAUUCAAAAGCCUAACUUAGACUAGAAUUUCACUAGAAAUUCAUUGGAGGCAUAAAAUACGAGUUUCAGGACUGUUUCGCAUGAAAAAUGAGGCAGAAUAGCUGGCAGAAAAAUAUAUAAAAUUAGUGUUUGUUCAUUUGGUCAUAUUUUUAGUUGGGGAGCUCAGAUUUGGGCUAUUUUGGAGGCGAUUUUCACCACAUGGAUUGGGGUAAGCGAUCUUUACUGAAUUUUCAUUAUAUUUCAUGAAUCCAUCUUCGUUUCUAGAAUUUGAUUGAUGAUUUCAAAGUGAAUGGGAGUUAGGGUUUAUAUUUUGGAUAUAUUUAAGUGGGGAUUUGAGGGACCAAACGGAGUCCUAUUUUGAAGAAUUUUAUAUGGUUAGACUUGGAAGAGGACGAGGAUUAAUAUUCUAAAAGUUUUGACUGAUUCUGAGACAUGAGCUUAGGGGCGGGUUUUGGCAAAUUUCGAAUAUUUGGAAUAUUUUGUAGGUUUUAUUGUGGAAUUCGAUUCUUUAUCACAUAUUGAUAAUAUUAUUCUUAUUAUGGCUAGAUUUAGAGCUUUUGGAGGCCGAUUCAAUAGACGGGGGCAUCCCCAAGUAGAUUUUAUGUUGUUGAGGUAAGUAACCAUUUUAACUCUCGCUUUGAGGGUAUAAACCCGGAGAUUUGAUAUCAUGUAAUUGUGUGGAAGUGAUACUCAUGCUAGGUGACGGUCGUGUGGGUGUUCACCUUGAGGGAUUGAGACUUGCUCUGUCCGUGAGGCUAGAGCCCUAAUGGCUAUUAUCUGUGUUUACGUAGUUACUUGUUGUUGAACGUGUUUGCCUUCUUGUUAGAGUUCAUGUUUAGGAUUUAUUCAUGCUCACAUUAUUUGUACUUAGUCAUAGAAAUUAGUGUACAUGUGUGCCUCAGUCUCUAUUAUUUGCUAAUAUGUUGUGGUACUUGACGUGGGCUAUGUCUCCUUAUUUGUUGAUGAUGGUGAGGCUAGUGAGGUCCAUGAUUGAGUAAGACUGGGGGCCUUUUUGUAAGGAUAUUAAUACCAUUGUGCACGAGUUAUCUGCGCGCACGUGAGUUGACCGUGCGGGUUUGGCUAUUUAUACCAUAGCGCGUGAGUUGUGUGUGUAUCAUGUGAGUUGACCGCAUGGAUUCAGACAUGGAUAUGAUAGCACGUGAGUUUUCGUGCUUUGCGCUUGGGCUUUGGGAGACCCUCCAGAGUCUGUACAUGCCUCUAAUGAGCAUAGAGUCCUGACUUUAUUAAGUGUUGAGUGUUGAGUGCGAGUGAUGAGUGAUGGACUGACAUUGUAGUAAGGUUGCAUUUACUUUUGUUGUCGCUGCAUUUACUUGUUAAAUUUCUUUGUGGAAUUUAGUGGGUUAUGAAAUUUACCUAUUUAUUCCUGUUAUUUUUAAAUUGUGAAAAUAAAUAAUUGGAUUGUUUUGCUUAGCUUGUCACUACUGCUCAGUUCCUUAGUUAUUUCUGUUACUAUUGAGUCGGUUGUACUUAUUCUAUACCCUGCACUUUAUGUGAUGAUCCAGAUGAGUUAGAGCGCGGAGAUCGUUUAUUUCAGGCUGGGUAAUGGCUAAAAUCCUCAUGACCUUGUUGCUCCUCUUUUCAUUUCUUCGUCAGGAUGAUUCGAAAAUUAUAUAUCUUAGUUCAUAAUUUUAGACGCUCAUGACUUAGUAACAACUCGAUAUUUGGGGCUUGUUGUUGUAUUUUUUAUAUUAUGUUUAGAGUUGAUUUAAGAAAAAUUUAAAUGUUGAAAUUUUUAUUAUUUACUUACAAUCAAAUUAAUAUUAAUAUAUAAGAAAUAGGCUUGCCUUGUAAUACGAUAGGCGCAAUCAUGACCAUGGCUAGAUUUUGGGUCGUGACAAGUUGGUAUUAAAGACUAGGUUACAUAGGUCUCACGAGUCAUGAGCGGGUUUAGUAGAGUCUUGCGUAUGGAGACGACUGUACUUAUAUUCAAGAGGCUGCAGAACCUAUAGGAGAACUUCACCUUCUUGAAUCUUAUCAUGCGAUAUUGAUUUAGCUUGAAGUGUAACUCUUUGAACUCAUUAAAUGCAUUCAUAGGCGCACAUGAGUGCUCGGUAUCAAUUUUGUAUUGAUGGAUUUUGAUUCCCUAGAUGAGGUGCGAGAUGUGAUUUCUUUGUGCUGAUGUUGGUCCAGACUGGAGGACUUGAGGUCAGGUUUUGAAUGUCGAUUAAGCACUAAGAUAUUGAUUGUGUGAACGUGUGCUUGUGGACCUGUAUGUCCGAUAGUGUCCCUGUUAGUAGAAAUAGUGAUUCAAUUGAUAUGUGAUGAGCAUGAUGUGACCGCGAGAUGAGUUCAUAUGAUUUGAGUGUGAUGAGAAGGUAUUGGUGAAGGUUACUGUAACGACCCGACCAUUCCUUUUGAGCUCUAGCGCGUCAUUCAGUAGUUGGAAGUCAUGAAUAACUUCAUUUAAGGUAUAUUGACUUGUGCGUAUGGUCAGAAUUGAAUUUCAGGAAAUUUGGAGUAAAAUUGGAAAAAUAUUUUUUAUUUCGGCAGCCUUAAGUUGAAGAAAAUGGCUAAGAUUAGAAUUUUGAGUAAACGACCUCAGAUUUGGGAUCUGAAAGUUCCAGCAUGUUAGUAUGAUGAAUUCGGACUUGGGUGUUUGUCCUGAUUUGCUUUUGAAUAACCCAUGAGAAUUUCGGCAUAUAUUGUGGAAGUUAGUAUUUUAGAAGAAUUUCAUAAAUUUGGGUUGGAAGGCAUUUCAGUGAUAUAUAUGUCUGUUUGGGAUUUCGAGUCUGGAAAUAGCUCUGUAUGGUGAUUCUAGAGUUUGGAGCGAGAUUGGAAGUGCAUUCGGAAAUUUGAAAUUUGAAAGUUUUUGAGAAAAUUCGACCGGAAGUGGAAAUUUCGGUAUCGGGUGGGAAUGCGAUUUCGAAAGUUUGGGAAAGUGCCUAAUGUCGAAUGUAACUUGUGUGCAAAAUUUGAAGUCAUUUCGGAAUGAUUUUGGUAAGGUUUGAGACACUUAGUCUCUUUAAAGGAAGCUUAAAUAGGAAAAAGUCAACCGAAUAUUGACUUAUGUGUUAGAUGGCUCGAAAUGCAAAUUUUACGGUUCGGAUAGCUUCAAUAGGUGAUUUGUGACUUAGGAGCGUGUCCGGAAUAUUUUUGUGAUGACCAGUGUAGAAUUAAGCUUGAAUUGGCAAAGUUAGCAUUUUGGCGAAUUCCAGUUGAUAGGUGAAAUUUUGAUCUGAGGGUCAGAAUGAAAUUUCGAGAGUUGUUGUAGCUUCGUUAUGUUAUUAUAGACAUGUCUGCAAAAUUUGAGGUCAUUCGGACUAGUUUUGACGUGUUUCGGCAUCGGAGGUGUAAUUUGGAAGUUCUUGAGAUUGAUAGGCUAGAAUCCGAUGAUGAUUUGAUGUUUUGAUAUUAUUUUGGGUGUUCCGAAUGUUAGAACAAGUUUGAACAAUAUUAUGGGACAUGUUUUAUAAUUGGUUAAGCUCCCGAGGGCCUCUUGUUGAUUUCGGAAGGUUAACGGAAUGAAAUUCGGACCAAAAAGAAAAGAAAAAGCUGCAGAAAUUUUUGCUGCUAAGCUAUCUUUGGACAGCAAACGUUGCAUAAUUCAGGGGCCUAUAUCUUUUAAUAUACAACGAAUUUUGAGAUGAUUCAAAUAUGAAAGUUGUAGCCCUUCGUGUCUAGUUUUCAAAAAACUAAAGUAAUUGUAAUUUGGACAUCAUUAGUGAAAGUUAUGAUCAAUUGAAAAUUACUAGUGGGGCAGUUUCUCCAGAAUUUUCUGAUUUUAUGGAGUCUAUUUUAGAAGCUCAUAUCUCGGGAUAUAUAAGAGUUAUAUGGUGUACAACCUAUCAAAUUAAACAUCUUAGAGUCUAGUUUCUAAAUUUUCAAACCGUUUUUCAUUAAGAUAUUUAUAACAUACGUUAUGGGUAUUUAAACAGAGGGUGUCCGACAAGGAACAAUUUUAAUAGGAUGUACAACCUGUACAGCACAAGUGCAAGGUACAACUCGACGAAUCACUGGCAGAUUCUUUUGAACACGUAUUUGGCUUAUUUUUUUCAUUUCUUUCAUUUGGUUUGGAUGAUUUUGGAGCGAAUUUCAAGGGGAUUUCAUAAAGCAUCAAAGGUGAGUUAUUUCUACUUAUUUUCAGGUUAAACACACUAUUAUAUAUGAAUUAGAACAUGAACAAUUAGUAGAAAAGUGGGGUUUUAUGGCAUGUGAUAUUAAGAUAUUCUAAGGUUGAUUUGAAUGGUCAAACGAGCUUCCGAUUUUUGUGUUCAUUAUAUGUGCGGACUCGUGGGAGGACGAAGAACAUUUUGGUACAGAAAUUUAUGUGUUUCGAGAUGUGGACCCGGGGCUCGGGUUUUGCCAAAUUCGUGAAUUUUGAUAUUUUUGAUUGGGUAUUGUCCCUUUAGCAUAAUGCGAAAUAUUCGAUGUGAUUUUGGGAAGAUUUGUCGCACGAGGAGACCAAUUCGAGAGACAAGGACAUAACGACCUAGACUUUUGGCCGUUUUUAGGUGAGUAAUAUUUGUGAAUGAUAUCCUAAGGGUUUGAAACCCCAAACUUUCACAUUGUAAUACUAUAUUAAGGUGUGACACGCAUUUUAUGAUGAGUGCGGGGUCGUUUACUGCCGGGGACUGUGACUUGGUCCAUCCCGAGUGUUAUUUUCUACUAUAUUAGAGAUUGAUACGCAUACUUUAUUAUUGAGAAUUAGCUUACUGCUAAGUUUGCGACCUUGUGACGGCCUGUAGAAUCCUUAGGGGAUCCUUAUGUGUUUUUCCUCACUUGUUUGCAUAAAACCAUACUCCUAGUCAUUUUUUCAACUAUUAAAAAUGUUACAAGAACUGUAUUUUUGAACAUGAAUUUUGAAUGAAAAGUAUAUGAGGGGGAAGAUCCCUAUAACUUGUUUUGCCCGAGAGAUUGUGCAUUACUUUACUGAGAUGGGUCAAGGACCCGAUGUGAGGAUGUUUAUACUUGAUAUGAAUCGGGCUACAUGCCGCAACAAUAAUAUAUUGAUAUGGAUCGGGCUGCCCCGCAGCAGUGACAUAUCAUAUGGAUCGGGCUGCACGCCGCAGCAGUGAUAUAUUGAUACGUAUCGGGUUGCAUGAAACAGCAAUGAUAUAUUGAUAUUGACGACGAGAGCCUAUUUGAUGCCAUUAGAUGGAUAAUAUUAUGCUUGGGCUAUAGGAGCCCCUAUGGAGUCUGUACACAGCCCUAGUAAGCGUUUUCGACGAUAAAUAAAUAGAGCGGGUUGCACUCCACAGUGGGAACGACAGUGUACCGUCAUAUGCAUUGCAUUGCACUCAUGCAUUUGUUCCUUAUCUGGAUUAUCUGCCAUAAUAAUUAUGUGCUCUUAUUUCAUCAUUUGGUUUCUUAAUAUCGUUUUGAGUCUGAGGGGAUGAUACUGUUCUGAGAUAUUGAUAUUGCACCCGAGAGGCUGAUGUUGUACCUUGUCAGUUAAGAGUGAGCCCGAGAGGCAUAUGUUGUACUUUGUGAGUUGGGAGUGAGCCCGCGUGGCUGAUACUGUACUGAGAGGUUGGUAUUGAGCCCGAGGGGCAGAUUUUUGAUAAUUUCUUACUUGUUGAAAUUAUUUUCGCAACUGUUGAAAGGAUCAUUUUCAAAAAGAAUUUUUAAACUAAGCCAAGAUAUUUCUAAAGAUUUCACAGUUUUCACUGAUUUUCUCAAAUUAAGGGUUUUUUCUGCUUCUAUGUAGCAUGACGAUAUGUUUUACGUGAUUUCUUACAACUCAGUUGUUAUUUACUUUUAUUACUCACUGGGUUGGAGUUCUCACUUUACUCCCUACACCUCACGUACAACUGCAGGUAUUGAUCACCCGGUAGUGGGAUAUUAGCUAAUUGAAGGUAUUACUAUUGUAGUUGAGCAAGGUCGCCAGCGUUCGCGGCACCAGGCAUUGUCUUUAGAAUUUCAGAAUUUAAUUUUGUAUAUUAUUGGCCAUGUAGUUGUGCUCAGGUUUGCUUUAGAUGCUCGUCACUUGUGACAUCCUGAUCAGGUUAUGUUGGUUGUAAACACUGGUUAUUAUUGUAAUUAAGUUGUAUUUAUCUAUUCAUUUAUGUUUAUUAAUUGUUAAGAGAGGAUUUGUAUUAGUUGGCUUGCCUUAUCUUCACGAGAGGCGCCAACACGACUGGGUUAGGAAAUUGGGUCGUGACAAUUUGGAAUCAGAGCCUACGUUACUACAUCUCACGAGUCAUGAGCAGGUUUAGUAGAGUAUCGCAGAUCGAUACGGAGACGUCUGUAUUUAUCUUGGAGAGGCUGCAGAACCUUUAGGAAAACUUCACAUUCUUGAAUUCUUAUGCUACGUCCUUGAAUCAUCUUGAAGAGAAACUUUUGAAAUUCCUUCCACGCAUUCGCAUGCGCGCAUGAGUGCUUGGUAUCAUACAUUCCCUCAUGGCUUGUAAUUUUCCCGAUCGAGGGGCGAGAUGUGAUUUGUAUGAGUUGAUGUUGGGCCAGUCUUGAGGACUUGAGGCCUGAUCUUCACUUAUGGCUUGAGAACCAAGGUGCUGAUGGUACGAGCUAGUGUUUUGAACUUAUAUGUUGAGUAUUGUCACUAAUGAUGGGAGUGAUGGCUGGAUAGCUAUGUGAUGAAUAUGUUAGUAUUGCAUAAUGUUUUAAUAUGACGUGGAAGAGUCGAGGAAGAUUUGCUAGAUGAGAGGUAAACUACUAAGUGUUCGAUUUCCAUUGUGGUUGGAAGUGUAGCUCCGAGUUAUGGGUGCAUGAAGAAUCCUUUCAUGUAACUUAGUUGGUAGUGAAGUAAAUUUCAUGUUACGGUAUGAGUUUAGACUCAGGAAGACUAAGUGAUUAUGUAAUGUUUAUGACGGUGGAAGGUAUACAAAAAUGUUAAAUGGAGGCAAAGCAGGUGGGUUAUCUCAUGUGGAAUAAUCUACGUUGGUGUGUUCCUUAUAAUGUUGAGUAGAGAGUUUCUAUUCUACUGACAGUAUGUAUGUGAUGAGAUUUGAAUUUGACUCUGAUUGAGAAAGGAGUUGAUUUUCACGAGAAUGAAUGUGAUCUUAGUAGUGGAAUUGAGGUAUUUUACGGUAUGGGUUACCUAAGCUUGUGAAGAAUUUUUGUUGAACUAGUUAUAGUAAUAUGGAAAUGUUCUUGAGUUUGAUGACCUAUGUGGCCUGGUUGAAUUAGAGGAAUUUAGUUAUGAUAGCUUGAUUAGGAGAAAAUGGAUUUCCAUGUGUUCUUGAUGGUUUCUACCAUGGUUUAAACCAGACACUUUCUACAGGUAUGGGGAAUGUGUUGUGUAUUGUGAGUUCCUAUAUAUUUCUUCAUUAUUGAUGGAGUACGAAAGUUUUAGAGUGAGGUUCUGUUUAAUGUGUGCUUUCCUACUGGUACUUGGUUGCUUUGAGUGGUUAUGGUGAUCGAGAAUGGUGUUACGAGUAUACGAGUUGUGUAGUAUGUUAUGCGAUUAUAUCAGGAUUAUUGUUAUGGCUUGACACAGUUUGUUCGGACUUAUUGAGUGUGUGUUGUGAGAUUCGGGGCUUGAAAAGAAUUCUGGAUGUUAGACUAGGGUUAUUGUUAUGGCUUGACACAGUUUGUUCGAACUUAUUCAGUGUGUGCAUGUGAGAUUAGGGUCUUGUAAAGAAUUUUGGAUGUUAGAAAUUGGGCUACAAAGAUUUUGAGUAAGGUUAAAAUAAUAUUUAUUAGUCACUAUAAUGGGUUUAAUGUGUUUCGGAAUAAUUGGUUCCAACUUUGUUUUAUGAAUUAUAUGCCCUACCGGUAUGAGGGUUUGUUAUGUGCUAUGAAAAGAAAAAUGACUACGAAAUUUAUUGAGAAUAACAAAGAAAGGAAAUUGAAAACUGUAGUUGGCAAAAUGUGAAAUAUUUAAAUCGGGCUGCAAGCCGCGGUGGAGGUUAUGUAAGGACGAGGUCCUUGUGGUAAAUAUUUAUGAGUUUAAAGUUUCCCUUUGUAAAGUUCAAUUCGUACGAUAAUAUUAAAAGGGAGUCAUGCCAGUUAGGUUGAUUUGAUAAUUCUUGUAUACUUUAUGUUCAUAUUAAGCCAUUUUCGUACUGUAAACAUUGAGUUUUAGCUUAUUAGAUGAGUUAUUAGGUGGCGUUAAAUGUGACUCAUUAAUCCGAGUAAGUAAUAAUGAGGUCUUCAUGCCUCACAUUCUAUUGUCAGUAUUGUAAAAAUUUGAAAUGAGGUGGUGGUUAAAAUGAGAUUUAUUGAUAAUGAUGGAAUUAUUUAUGAACAACUAUUAAGAGUGACCAUACAAAUGAUGUGUUUCAUGUCAAGAUAUCAUUGUGAUAAUGUUGGGCUUGUAAUGCAGAGAUUAGUGUUAUCGGUGUACUUGGGGUACUUGUUGGGUCGUGGACAUGUUGUUAGGAGUUGUUUUAGUGUUACUCUGACAGUUGGAUAGGCCCAAUUAUAAGGGAGACUCUGCCAAAAUAUUUUAAAAAUAUGGGAGUUAGUCAAAAUUUGGGGACUUAAGAAAGUUGAAAUGUUGGAAGAAUAUCUAAGAUUUAUAUGAAAUCGUUCGGUUUAUUUGGUUGUAGAUUGUGAGGUGUUAUCCCGUCUAUGGUGGUAGUUCUUACAUGUUAUGAGAAUAAAUGAUUUAUUACGGAUCCAGGAAAGACUAUUAACCUAGUUUGGUGUGAUCAGAAUCGACCUAAAGUGGGUGAAUGGAUUUAAAUAGGAUUAUGGGCUUCAUAUGAGUCAGAUAUGUUAAUUUCUGUAUAGCACUCCUCAAUGAGGGUGUUUUACUAUCAUAUGUUGUUCCAUGUUCAUCAAUUCAUGUAAUAUUGUGAUUUUGCCAUGUGUGCUGUGAAACGGCUUGAUAAAUUCCUAUUCUCUGGAGAAAAGUUCAUAUUAGUUGUAUGGGUUGAGCAGUUCAUUCCUGAAUCAUUUCCUUAUGUAUCUUGUUCACGUUAUGGCCUAUUGGCGCAUUUUUGCAUCAUGUGAGACCGUUGGUCAUUGUCUGUGGUGAUUGGUUGUCUGAGAAACUGGUACUAGGUGAGGCGAGACUAUUGGUAUCGGGAACCAUUGUAGUGGAAUUAUUUGAGGUAUAUUACAGGGCAGUUACCAAUAUUUGGGUAGUAAUGAGGUGAUGUUUUUAGUCAAAAGGAGAGAAUUAAUGUUGGGUUAACUCUGCAAUUGGUUAGAAAUUUCUGUACAUCUCCUCGGUUGUGGUUGUAUCGUCAGCAUUAUAAAAGAAUGUAUAGGUAUAUCAUCAAAUGAUUAGGAGCAUAAGAGUUGUGGAAUUUUGGCUAUUAAGGUUCAUGGAGUGUCAUUGUGGUUAGAUGGUGAAUUAUACGAUGCAUGGUGCUAAUUCAACAAAGGUACGCAGUCGUGUUCUGGUACCUGGUGUGGUAGUUGAUACAGUGUUUAUAUACGGGGAACAUGUCUGGCAGAGAAUUUGACGUGUUGGAAUUGGGUUUCAAGCUUAUUGUAUGGAUAAAAGAGGAUAUUUGCAUAUUUGAUCAAACUAAUGUGUCCAUAUGAGUUGUGGUAGCAGGGCAGGUGUGAUUUUGAGCAUAAUGCGACAUAUUAGUUGUGAUUUUGAGCAGAUUCGUCGUAUGAGGAGGUCAAUUCGAGAGGCAAGGGCAUAAUGAGCUAGACUUUUAGCCUUCUUGAGGUGAUUAAUGCUUGUAAAUGAUAUCCUGAGUGUUUGAAACCCAAACUUUCACAUCGUAAUGUUAUAUUUAGGUGUGACAGGCAUUUUAUGACGAGUGCAGGGUCGUUUACUGUUGGGGAUUGUGACUCUGUCCAUCCCGAGUGAUAUUUUCUUCUAUAUUGGCGAUUGAUACGCAUACUUUAUUGUGGAGAAUUGAGCUUACUGCUAUGUUUAGGGCCUUGUGCCGACUUGUAGAAUUCUUUGGGGAUCCUAAUGUGUUUUUCCUCACUUGUUUACAUAAAACCAUACUCUCGGUCAUGUUUCAACUGUUAAAAUGUUAUAAGAACUAUAUUUUUGAACAUGAAUAUUGAAUGAAAAAUAUAUGAGGGAGAAUAUCCCUAUAACUUGUUAUGCCCGAGAGGUUGUGCAUUACUUGACUAAGAUGGGUCGAGGACCCGAUAGUGAGGAUGUUUAUACUUCGUAUGGAUUGGGUUGCACCCCGCAGCAAUGAUAUAUUGAUAUGGAUCAGGCUGCACGCCACAGUAGUGAUAUAUUGAUAUGGAUCGUGUGGCACGCCGCAGCAAUGAUAUAUUGAUACAGAUCGGGCUACACGCCGCAACAGUGAUAUGUUGAUAUUGAGGCCGAGAACCUAUUUGAUUCCAUGAGAUGGCUAAUAUUGCGCUUGGGAUGUAGGAGCCACUCCGGAGUCUGUACACACAAGCGACGUCGAUGAUAAAUAAAUAAAGCGGGUUGCACGCCGCACCGGGUACUAGAAUGUACCAUCAUAUGCAUUGCAUUGUACUCAUGCAUUUAUUACUUAUCUGAAUUAUCUGCCAUAAUGAUUAUGUACUCUUAUUUCAUCGUUUGGUUGCUUCAUACCAUUCUAAGCCUGAGGGGCUGAUACUGUUCUGAGAUACUGAUAUUGAGCCCGAGAUGCUGAUGUUGUACCGUGUGAGUUAGGAGUGAGCCCGAGAGGCUGAUAUUGUACUUUGUGACUUGGGAGUGAGCCCGUAGAGGUGAUACUGUACUGAGAGGUUGAUAUUGAGCCCGAGGGGUAGAUUUCUGAUUAUUUCAUACUUGUUGAAAUUAUUUUCCCAGCUGUUGAAAGGAUCAUUUUCAAAAGAUUUUUUAAACUAAGCCAACAUAUUUCUAAAGAUUUCACAGGUUUGACUGAUUUUCUCAAAUGAAGGGUUUUUCUCUUCUUCUAUACAUCAUGACGAUAUGUUAUACGUGAUUUCUUACCACUCAGUUGUUAUUUACUUUUAUUACUCACUGGGUUAGACUACUCACUUUACUUCGUGCACCUCGCGUGCAGCUCCAGGUAUUGAUCACCCGGUAGUGGAAUAUUAGCUUAUUGAAGGUAUUGCUAUUGUAGCUGAGCAAGGUGACCGCCAGCGUUCCCGGCACCAGACAUUAUCUUUAGAAUUUCAGAGUUUCAUUUUGUAUAUUAUUGGCCCUGUAGUUGUGUUCAGGUUUUCUUUAGAUGCUCGUGACUUGUGACAUCCCGGUCCGGUUAUGUUGGGCUUUAAACACUAGUUAUUAUUGUCGUUGAGCUGUAUUUAUCUAUUCAUUUAUGUUUAAUAAUUUUUAAAGAGACGAUUUGGAUUAGUUAGCUGGCCUUGUCUUCAAGAGAUGUGCCAUCACGACCAGAUUAGGAAAUUGGGUCGUGACAAGUUGGCAUCAGAGCGUACGUUACUAGGUCUAACGAGUCAUGAGCAGGUUUAGUACAUUCUCGCGGAUAGGUACGGAGACAUAUGUAUUUAUCCUCGAGAGGCUGCAGAACCUUUAAGAAAACUUCACAUUCUUGAAUUCUUAUUAUGCAUCCUUUAUUCAGCUUGAAAAGUAACUCUUGAAAUUCCUUCCACGCGUUCGUAUGCGCGCAUGAGCGCUCAAUAUCAGAUGUGUCUUGAUGGCUUGUGAUUCCCUGAUCGAGGGGCGAGAUGUGAUCUCGGUGAGUUUGAUGUUGGGCCAGUCUGAAGGACUUGAGGCCAGAUUCCUUCCACGCAUUCGCAUGCGCGCAUAAGUGCUCGGUAUCAGACGUGCCCUGAUGGCUUGUGAAUUUCCUAAUGCGCCUGCAGUACCCAUUAUCUCUAUGUUACUACAGCUAGUUCAACAAAAAUUCUUCACAAGAUUAGGUAACAUAGACCGUAAAAUACCUCAAUUCCACUACUAAGAUCACCUUCAUUCUCGUGACAAUCAACUCAACUUUCUCAAUUAGAGUCAAAUUCAAAUCUUAACACGUAAAUCCUGUCAGUAGAAAACAAACUCUCUACUCAACAUUAUAAGGAACACAGAUACGUAGAUUAUUCUGCAUGAGAUAACCCACCUGCUUUGCCUCCAAUUAAAAUUUUUGGAUACCUACUACCGUCAUACAUAUUACAAAAUCACUUAGUCUUCCUGAGUCUAAACGCAUACUGUAACAUGAAAUUUACUUCACUACCAACUUGUUAGAACGAGUGCUUAACGCUAGAGGGGCGGUGAAUAGCGUUUAUAAAAAUUUUGCGAAAUUAAAUACGAGUUGCGGAAUUGAAAACUGCAGGAAUUAAAUAAGUGCGGAAAUUAAAUGAGUAAGGAAAGAACACACCGAUGUAUACUGGUUCGCCACACCUUGUGGUUAGUCCAGUCCCCGAGAGACUCUCUCGAGAUUUCCACUANNNNNNNNNNNNNNNNNNNNNNNNNNNNNNNNNNNNNNNNNNNNNNNNNNNNNNNNNNNNNNNNNNNNNNNNNNNNNNNNNNNNNNNNNNNNNNNNNNNNNNNNNNNNNNNNNNNNNNNNNNNNNNNNNNNNNNNNNNNUACCUAACAAACCGUUACACUUGAGAACUUGAAUCCCACAAGUCUCAAACAACCUUGCUCGAGGAUACCUCACCCCAAGACUUCUCUGUUAAGCUUACAGGUGCCUAACGAACCGUUACAACCUGAGAACUUAAAUCACACAAGCCUCAAACAACCUUGCUCGGAGAUACCUCACUCCAAGACUUCUCAAGAAGAAAUACAGUAUUCCCUCUUGCAGCAAGUGUAUGCAAACACUUCCUACUCACUUAAACAAUACUCUCUUAACAGAGUGAAUAUGAGUACAAAAUAAUCAGCUCAAGAACACAACAACUUAAUCAAAGAUUGGCUCUCAAAAAUAAUGAAUUUAGAAUGAAAUGAUAUGCAANNNNNNNNNNNNNNNNNNNNNNNNNNNNNNNNNNNNNNNNNNNNNNNNNNNNNNNNNNNNNNNNNNNNNNNNNNNNNNNNNNNNNNNNNNNNNNNNNNNNNNNNNNNNNNNNNNNNNNNNNNNNNNNNNNNNNNNNNNNNNNNNNNNNNNNNNNNNNNNNNNNNNNNNNNNNNNNNNNNNNNNNNNNNNNNNNNNNNNNNNNNNNNNNNNNNNNNNNNNNNNNNNNNNNNNNNNNNNNNNNNNNNNNNNNNNNNNNNNNNNNNNNNNNNNNNNNNNNNNNNNNNNNNNNNNNNNNNNNNNNNNNNNNNNNNNNNNNNNNNNNNNNNNNNNNNNNNNNNNNNNNNNNNNNNNNNNNNNNNNNNNNNNNNNNNNNNNNNNNNNNNNNNNNNNNNNNNNNNNNNNNNNNNNNNNNNNNNNNNNNNNNNNNNNNNNNNNNNNNNNNNNNNNNNNNNNNNNNNNNNNNNNNNNNNNNNNNNNNNNNNNNNNNNNNNNNNNNNNNNNNNNNNNNNNNNNNNNNNNNNNNNNNNNNNNNNNNNNNNNNNNNNNNNNNNNNNNNNNNNNNNNNNNNNNNNNNNNNNNNNNNNNNNNNNNNNNNNNNNAUUUCUGACAACGUUUUGAAUAAACCAGAUUGUGUAAUAAAUUCUCAACUAACAGAUCUUGACUUUUAAGAACAAAAAUGAUUGUAAAAAUCUGUUCGGGAUUUUGCAGCUUCAACAAUCGAUUGUUGCAUGAAGACAAUCGAUUGUCAAUUUGAAUUUUAAAAGCAUUUUUGACAACGGUACUACGACAACUGAUUGUUAGACUGUGACAAUCGAUUGUUGUGAAUUAUAGAAGAUUUUGAAAACACACUGCCUCGUGACAAUCGAUUGUUAAACCAUGACAAUCGAUUGUUUUGCAUUUUGGAAAAUUUUAGUAACUCACUGCCUCAAGACAAUCGAUUGUUUAGUUAUGACAAUCGAUUGUUUUGCUACUUUGAAAAAUUCAUUGAGACACUGUCUCAUGACAAUCGAUUGUUUACCACUGACAAUCGAUUGUUAGCUAUUUCCAAAAAUUCAUUUAAGCACAGUCUUAAUAAAAUCGAUUGUUUAAAACUUCCAGUUUAGGCAGUCUUUAUGACAAUCGAUUGUUGGUCUGUGACAAUCGAUUGUUGUUAGUCCAGAUUCAAAAUACAAGUUUUAAAAUUAUUUUGGCUAAAAUGCAACUUAUUUGUUUGAACAUAAAGAUGCAUGAUUUGAUGAAAAAUGAUUUUAUGUGAGAGCCAAUAUUAGAAUAUGUCGUUGAGUCAAGAUUACAAAAUAGGACGACUCAACAGUUAACUUCAUUUGCAAUUCUCGACCUUGUACUGUUUCUCUUGUACUUGGACUGUUAUUGUUCCAUCCUCGUUGGUUUGUCAUUUAUCAAAACCUACAUGAAUCAACACACGUUUAGAUUGAGAACGUGAUUCAACAAUUUCCCCCUUUUUGAUAAUGGCAAACCUAUAUCGGGAUAUGCAUAAUAAUAACAGUUCAAGAUAUGACUAUAUGCAUAACAGUUCAAGAUACGUGUUCCCCCUCAAUUUAUGAUUCCCCCUCAAUGUAUGCAAAUAUAUCAAAGUGUGCAUGGGAAAUAUAUUAUAGUAUGUAUGCAUGCAUAGCCCGUUAUCUUCCCCCUUUUGACAUUAACAAAUAUUUAAAAAGAUAAAGUAGUACAUGAUCAACAAGAUACCAAAAUUAAACAGGGCAGAACAUAAGCUGAAAUUUCAAAAUACAACAAGAAAAUUUUUAAUCAUCAUUAUCCUCUUCGUCGUUGACGUUGUCUGGCGCAGUUUGAUAUGGAACAAGAGCAGCAUAUGGAUAAUUGACAUAAUCAAAAUAUCCAUGAAGUUCAAAUCUCAGUUGAGAAAUUUGGUCUGAGAUUGAUUGGAGAGUAGGCUCUUGAGUACGACGAGGUUGAGGACGAGGACGAGGAGGAGGAGGAGCAGCUUGUUCACCAAUAGUGGGAAAAGAAGAUUCUGAAAUUUCCCAGUGCUUAGUAGAUUUGUUGAUCGGGCCAUUGGUGGUGAUGAAACCAGUGGCUUCAAGAAAGUUCAUGAUAAGAAGAGCGUAGGGAAGAGGUUUAUCGUCUCCAGUGGCAUUGAACAUGUGAACUUUAAUGAACUUGCACCAAUUGAUGCGAGCUCCGCUUAUUAUGGCAUGAAGAAUUUUGGCGUCCUCUUGAGAAAUAGUAGUGUGGCUAUGCUUACAGGGUUUGAGCACACGAGUUAUGAAGUAAAAGAUCAAACGGUACUCAGGGAGCAUCCCCGUGAUGGUGGGACGACGAGAGGUGACUCUAGGAUCAAAAUGCCCAAGCCCGAUUUGAUUUAGAGGGGGUUGCUCAUCCCAAACCCCAUCUUGAAAGUAUCUAGAAAGAUCUUCCCCAUCUUGAGGAAGUCCACACAGUGUUUGAAGAUUUUCAUCAGAAAUGAGAAUUUGGAUACCAUUGAUGGUUGUAGUAAGAUCACCAUCAUCAUCUUUCUUAAGAUUGGAAUAAAAAGCUCUAAUAUAUGGAUGAUGAACGUGUGGAUGUGUAAGGAGUAAAAAAUCAGCACUGCUUCCCCGAAGCAUAUUCGCUGCGAGAGCAUUCGAUUCAAGAAAUUGGGUAGUAGAAAAACGAGGAGGUAAGAUGUCUCGGCUUUCGAAUUUGGACAUGAACCGAGUGUAUUCUUCAUGAGACAAGAAUUUUAAAUAUGAACGUCUUGAUAGGGAAAGACGGGAGUAGAGGAGGAGGCAACAUCUUUGCCUGAUCGGGAACGUUUUUGGUGGUGUCUUGACAUAUUGAUAGAGAGUUAAAGACGGAUUUUUGUGAGAAAUUGGGAGAGUUUUGAAGUUUUGAUCUUGAUUUGAAGUGAUAAAAGUGAAGAAAUCAGCCCCAAUUUAUAGAGUGGGAGUAGAUAACAAUAAAUGAAAAGAUUGGGCAGAAAUUGAAGUCUGAAACGUUAAAAUUUUGAAUUUCUGCCGCAGAACAAUCGAUUGUUGAGCUGUAACAAUCGAUUGUUAUGGAAUAAUUUGAAUGGUACUCUGACUUGUCAGUAAUUAAUCGAUUGUGGAAUCUUUCAGAAGUCAGAACGGCAAAAUUUUGAAUUUGACAAUCGAUUGUGGAGCCUAAACAAUCGAUUGUUAAGCGAUUUGAAUUUUGGUAAGAAGAGCAACAAUCGAUUGUUGAAUAUGGACAAUCGAUUGUGGACAGGCAGUGAGUAUUUCAUUUUUCAGAGAUUUUGAAACAAUCGAUUGUAGCUGAGAGACAAUCGAUCGUAGCUGAGGCAGAGAGUUUUAUGGUCCUGAAAAAAUGUUGAAUAAUCGAUUGUGAUGGUGAGACAAUCGAUUAUAAGGUCCAAUGAAGGAUGACAAUCGAUUGUGGAUAUGUAACAAUCGAUUGUGAGCAGGCAAAACGAUAUAAGAACCUUAAUGAAUAUUUUGACAAUCGAUUAUUGAAGAAUGACAAUCAAUUGUAGGAAGGUAGUGCCAAACGAACAAAGACAGCAAAAGACAAAUGAUUUUGCAGAUUGAUCAAUCGAUUAUAUAUCAAAACUUAUAAAACUGAAUCUA